GGGUUGGGUGUUAACUGUUAAGUGUGUGAGUGAAAAGUGAAAACUGAAAGUGAAAGGGAGGGGGUAGAGACGUAGUAGUCGGGCUGCUGCAGUGCUGCUGAGAAAUGGGCAUUGGACAGUAGGUUUAAAUUUGGGCUGGGUUUAAAUUUAAUUGGUGUAGGCCCAACCCUGUUAAUUUUGGUUUACCCGAAUUUUAUUGGUUAACCGGUCCGUUUCGAACCGAUUUAACCGUUAACCGAACAAACCAAAAAAAUUUAACUGACCCUCGACCGAAGUUUUUCGGUUCACCGACCGAUUAACUGAACUCGGUCGGUUAACCAAAAAAUUUCAAUUUUAACCGACUAAUGCACAGCCCUAAGUACUAUAGUCAGUAAAUUGAACUCAAAAUCUUUUUUUUUCUUCUCAAAUAUUCAGCGCUUCUUCUCUACUGAUAUUGUGUUAUUUUUUUUCAAAUCUCUCUUCUCAUGUAAUUGAAGGCUUAAGAGUCACAUUUCCAAAGCUUUAAAAAGAAUCAAACGGUCACCGAUCAUGGCAACCAGAGCAUGCCAUAAAAAAAAAACCACGCCGGCGCUAGUGGAGAGAAGGUCGGCACCAAAAAAAAUAAUUUAAUCUGACACGAGUGUUAGCACCAAAAAAUACUGAAAAGUAAAAUUUCAUUAUUUCCCGAUGCCGACUACCUAGAUGCUGACACCUAAUAAAAAAUAUUUUUUGAACCAGAAAAUACCCAUAUUUUUCAAAAAAGUACACAAAAAUACAUACGCGUGUUAGCCAUUGCAGUGUCAGCACCAAAAAAAUUAUUUUUUAAAACCCUGACCCAAUCAACAAGCAAUCAUUAUACGCUGAUUGACAUUGGUGACGACCAUCGGAGUGCCGACACUGCCCGACACUGUAGAUUUCAGGUAAUUUUCGUUAUAGUUUUUCAACCUGGGUCAAUGUCAUAAAUUUUUUUUUGGUUAGUUGGGUAAAAAAGCUUAUAAAAUCACUACAAAUAUAAUAUUUUAAAUGGUAAAAGUAUGAUAAAGGCUCUUAUUUUAAGAGUAGAUUACAUUUUUCUCUUUUUACUUAAAAAAUAAGUAAAUUAGUCUUUUUUAUAUUAAAGGUACACGUGACAUUCUAUAUGUAAUUGUCUGAUUAUUCUAUCAAUCAAGUCAAUUUUUAUCAAUAGAAAUAGAAACUUUUUAAUAGAAAGAACUAAUUUACUUUUUAAUCCAAUGUACAAGAAUUAAUUUAUUAAUUUAAUUUUGCUCUUAAUACACAGAUUUUUUAUUUUAUUUUAAGCAUGAUCCAAUAAAUUAACUAAACUAAAAUCUGGUGUUUUUUUUCAAAAUUGAUCCAAAAAAUAGAUUAUUUAUGAAAAUGACCCAGGUGAAAAAUCUUUGAUGGAAAUGACUUGGUUCUAUAGUGCAUGUUGGUGCCAGCCAUCUCACCGUCGGCACCACCCUCCAUGAUCUCUUAAUCAUUACCCGAUGAUUGCCCGGUCAAAUAAAAAAUAAUUUUUUUGUGUUGGCACUGUGUUUGUUGACACCAAUAUGUUUUUUUUCAAAUACACUUAAAAAAUACAGUAUUCUAAGAUUAAAAAAAAAGAAAAAAUAAUAAUAUUUUAAUAGGUGUCGGUGUUCACGUUGCCAACAUAGGUUCAAAUUUAAAAAACAAUGUUUUUUAGUGUUGGUACUAACGUUCUCAUUGUCAGCAUCAGUGUGGUUUUGAUUUUUUUUUGUCGGUGUGCUCUAAUUACUAGGACCGGUGACUGCUUUUUAAAAAAAAAAGCCAAAGGCAUUUUAUCAUUGACAAAAGACUACGGCGUUGUCAUAUUUGUUGCCGUUAACUGCAUGUCCUCCACCGCCAAUGUCUUCUUCCUCUAUUUGCUGCUAUCAUCACACGACACUCUCCUCCGCCUGCUUCUUGUUCUUGAAGCGACCAUCAUCGACUUAUUCAACAUUAUGACUUUUUAUUGAUUGGGCAAUCAUCAGAUAAUAAUUAAAGGAUGAUGGAGGAUGGUACCGACGAUGAGAUAACCGACACCAACAUGUACUAUAAAAAAAUAGUUCAUUUUCAUUGUCGAAACCAUUUUUAUUUUGAAAAAUGGGGUCGACUUUUAAAACGAAAAUGGAGUCGCCACCAAUCUUUUUUCGAGGUGUGAUCUGAGAUUAAUUAUUUUAAUAAAACAUUUUGAUUUAUUAAAAUAAUGAUUUUGGUCUACAAAAUUCGAGAAAACGGGCUCGGAAGUUGGUUAUGCACGAGGAAGGAUUAGCACCCUCGUAACGCCCAAAAAUUGGUACCUAAUUGAUUAAUUAAUGUCUCAAAGUCGAAUGUCGAAAAUUUGAAAAGUUUAGAAACGAUUCCCCUUUUUAUUAAUGCCAUAUUUUAAAACAAUGCUUGGAUAGAUUUGAACGAAUGUAAAAUGAUUUCUCAUCCCGAGGCAACAAGAUGUCGUAUCCCCUAAGUUAGGAUGCAACGUUUGAAUUCCCGAGCAUAAGUUAACCUUUUAAAAAUAUUUAUUGAAACCUUGUGCAUUUGAAAACUAAAAUGUUUAGUCAUUUUAGUUCAAUGAGAAAAUCGAAACCCCGUAAGUUAGAGCACGAUUUCUCAUCGUUCCAAAGACGACAUAUUGCAAACUUCAUUUUCCCUUUUUUACGAAAUUGGAUCAAAGCGAAGGUUUAAUGCAAUAUUAACAAUGAUAUAAAUUUGAUUUAUUCGAAAUGAAAAGAAAUGAAAUAAUCAAAUUUUGGCAAAUAAAUCGAAAAUUUUAACUAUGAUGUAAUGUUCUCAUUUAAUAAAUUGUUUAAAACAACUAAUAAAACACAAUAUAUAAAAAUAUUGAAGCAAAUGAAGUAUGAAGAAAAAUUAGAAUAUCCAUUAUAUAGAAAAAAAAAGUAAUAUUUAUAAUUCAAAAUAAAUAGUAUGUAUAUGGAUGAAGUUUAAAACAAUACAUGAAUUAAAACAAAUAAUAUAUAUGAAUGUACAAUUUAAUACCAAUAAUAUCUACAAUUUGAAAUGAAUUGGAUAAUUUACAAUAAAUAAUAUAUAAUAAAUUUGAAAUAAUAAUACAUAUAAAAUUUAAAAAUUUUAUGAUAAUUCUAGAAUAAUCAUACGUGAUAAAUCCAAAAUAAUAGUAUAUAAUAAAUUUAAAAAUAUUAAUGAUAAAUUUGAAAUAGAUAUACAUGAUAAAUUUAAAAUAAUGUUAACAAUGAAUUUAAAAUAAUAAUAUUGAUAAAUUACAAAUAAUAAAACAUGAUAAAUCUAAAAUAAUAAUAUACAGUACACUUAGAUAAUAUUAAUGAUUAAUUUAAUAAUAAUAAGCAUAAACAUUCAAAUAAUAUCAGAUUUAAUUUUUUUAAAAAAAUAGCAUAAUAAUCGAUACUUAAAUAAAUAAAACACAAGCAAAUUAAAUCAAACUAAUGAGGAUUAAAUUGAAUUUAAAGCAAAAUUAAAAGGAAUAAAUGAGAAUAAAACAAAACUGAGGGCCAAAAUAUGGAAAAAAAUAGAUAGUAUAAAAAAAUAAAUUGCAAUUGAUAAUAUAUGGAAAAAAAAUUAAAGCAAAUAAUCAAACAAUUUAAAAUGGACGAUUUAUAACAUGAGUUUUAAAAAAAUAACAUGUGUGACAUAAUAUUAAAAACAAAUAGAGUAUAUAAUUAAUGGAAAAAAAAUAAAAGAAUGAUAAGAAUGGUUAAAUGAAUGAACAAUAUAUAAAUAAGAAAGUUGAUGGAUAAAUAAACAAAUAAAAAUAAAAGAAUAAUUAAUGAUUAAACAAUUAAAUGGAUAAAUAAAAAGGUUAAAAAACGCUUAAGUCAGUUUAACUCUUACAAUAUGAAGAUUCAAAGAAAUUCCUCCAUCAAAAUCCAACUCAAAUGAAAGCAACUUAAAAAGAAACAAAGAUGAACGAAGAACAAGAUAAGAACAAGCCACAGAAAAUAAGAACGCAAGAGAGGGAGAAAUUUGAGUGAAUGCUUUUAAGAAUUAUUAUUGCUCCAAACUUCAGUGUUUUACAAUGAAGGGAGAGGCCUCUAUUUAUAGUUGAGCCUCCCCAAAUCUAACGAUAUAGAUCAAUUACAUCAACGGCUAAGAUUAAAGGGUAUCUACAAAUUAAAUCUCUAAGAUUACAAAAUCUUAUCUUCUAAGAGUGCAUAUCAUAUCUUAGAUUGCAUAUUCUGGACCUUCAACCCACUACACCAAAACAAGUCUUUAGCGGCGUUUUUUUAGGCCUUUAGCGGCAAACAUCGCUAACGUUUGCAGCGUUUACAAAAAAAACCGCCGCUAAAGAUCAUAUUCUUUAGCGGCGUUUUUUUUAAGCGCCGCUAAAGAACCUGCUCUUUAACGGCGCUUUGUAAAAAACGCCGCUAGAGAUCAUAAUUUUUAGCGGCGCUUUUUUUACAAACGCCGCGAAAAGAAAUGUUCUUUAGCGGCGCUUUUAUACAAAAACGCCACUAUUUUUGGGAUUUUUUUAUAUUAAAAUUUUCAUUUUUUUAGCCCUCCUGUAGCAACAAAUCAAAAGCAACCAGAUCUAAACCAGCCAAAAACAAUAAUUUUAUAUAAUAUUUCAAAUUAAAUGAAUAAAAUAAUAUUAAUAUCAAUAAAUAAAAGUAAAUUCAUAUUAUUUUUGCAAAAAUGUUAAAAGUUAAAAUGAUAGAAAUAUUUAUGCAAUACACUAUGACGGCAGAAGUUGCGACUGAAACAUCUUCAUCAUACUCUAAAGCUGCUGCUGGAGUUCGUCGUACUUUUUGCUUUGCUCUGCUUCUCUCGCUGCAGCCUCUGCUUUAAGUUGUAGCUGGAGUUCUUCAUAUUUUCUUUGAACCUCUGCUUCCCUCGCUGUCGCCUCUGCUUUAAGUUGUAGCUGGAGUUCUUCAUAUUUCCUUUGAACCUCAACUAUGGUCGCUUGCAUCUGAGUCAUCUGAUCUUUUAACCUCUGAACUUCAGCUUGAGCCUGACUCCUCGAAGCCAUGUAUUGCUGCGAGCUGGAUCCAAAAUAUUAGGUUGGGCUAACAAAAGAUCCUUGAAAUCGAACCCGACCAUACCUUUCAGGACCUAAAACUUCAGUAAUAAUCCGGUUAUCAAUGUCUUCAGGAUGAACAGAACUAUCACUAGAAGCAAUCGCUUCGUACUCCGCCUUUUUAUCCUUUAGUUUUUCCUAAUAAAUAAAUCACAUAGUUAGGAACGCAAUAUAUAUUAAAAAACAUAUGCAACAUAACAAUAGUCGCAUUACAAGCAAUGAAUUAAACCAUUAGAAAAUAAACACUAUAAAUAACUAAAAGAAGUCAAAUCGUAUUAAGUAAACGUACCAUUAUUUCACCAGCUUCAGGAGUCAUGGGAGAUCCAUCUUUCUUCCUAUGUGUAAUUUCAAAAAGUUGAAGGCAUCAAACUUUUUGACCGGACGACAGUUCCUACAAUAUAGUAGUAAAAAUAUUAUUUAAUGGAAAGUUAUACAUAUUUGACAAUAUUAAAAAAUUAAAAAUACCUCCGCCUCAGCUACACAUGCAAAACUUCUCGACCUGGCUGUGUGAGUGAAUUUUUGUUUCUGCCUACUGCUUUUUCCAACUCGUUCACGAUCCUACGUUAUGAAAUUUUUAGUACGUAAAUAGUAAAUACUAUAAACCAAAAUAAUUACAAUAGUUUGGAAGUACGUCAUACCUUGCCUUUCUUCGAAUGCCAAAAUCUAACCGCAUCUUCCCAUUGGUACCUCAACAUACCCGGCAGGACAUUUUGCAAUUUCUCAUCGAGGGUUAUUUUUGUCUUAUAAUAAUUUUUCUUCAAAGUACUUUUAUGGUCUCUCCAUCUUUUUCCCAAUGCCUUCUUUACAUAAGCAUCCGAGACCUCCAAAGCAAACCUCGCCUACAAAAAACACAAGUUAAUAAAGUAAAUAUAAAUGAAACUAUUUCCCAAGCAUUACAGAUGACAUUAACAUUUUGUUACCUUAAUAUUAUCGAGGGCUUGGUUUUUGUUGCUAUCGGGCAUUUGAUGCCAUGACUUAUAGUUGAUAGGCAACAUAUUCGCAUUUUGUGCUAAAAUGCCCAUGUAUCCUGCUAAAAGUUGAGCUUCUGGUCCAACAGGCUGACCAAAACUAUUUCGUCCAACCUUGACACGCUCGACUGGAUCUAACUCGUAUAACUCUCUAAGCAGCGUACGUCCUCGACCUCUGCACGUCCCACCAUUUUCAGCUACAAAUGGUAUAUUAUAAUAUAAGAAUUUGAAAAAUAAAUCAAUUAUAAGUCAACACGCAUGUAAAUUAAAUGUAAAAUUACUUUGAACUUCUGUAGGAUCCUCAGAUGUAAUCGGAACAUUCGAAGAUCCAAUUGCUGUCUGUUGUUCAAUACUAUUUGUUUCUGUCGAGUUUGGAUUAUUUUGAACCAUGCUUCCCCUUAGAAUUUUUCUUCUAGGCAUUUUAUCUGCAAUACACAUAAAAUAGUUGAAAACUUAAUAACUAAUUACAACAAUAACAACACAUAUAAAAUAAUUGAAAUAUAUAAUAAGACCAAGAUUUAAAUUAUUAUAUUACAUAUAAUUAAACAAUCGUAAAAUCUUACUCCAUCAUUAUUCGUAAAUAUCUUCAUCCGUAUCUUGACGAACCCAUUGAAAUUGUGCACUAGUACUAGGGAUAUUAUCGUUUAAGUUUUGUUUUGGAAAGGGCAAAGUUUCUGAUCUGUCGUCGAUGUUAUCUCUACUUCCACUGCCCAUGUCAAACAAGUCUCUAGGGAUGUUACGAAGUAUAACGUACUAACCCUCAUCAGUUGGAUAUUUUGAGUAAAAAACUUGUUUGACUUGAGAUGAGAAUACAUACGGCUCAUCUAUCACUUGUUGUCCUAUAUAAAUCAAUCGGGCGAAGUUCACCACUGUAAAACCAAAUUGAUCUUGCUUAAUUCCACGAGCAGUAUUAACAUCAGCCCAAUCACCUCGCAAUAAGACAACUUUCCAUUUGCCGUAGUUAUCCAACUCAAUUAUGUCAGUAAGAAGUCCGAAAUAUUCCACAUUUCCCUCAACAAGAUUAUUGUCCCUAGCACUAGCAUAACUUGUAAUUGAGGAAUUAACAACUAUUCCACAAUCUUGCUUUCUCCUCAACCUCUUGCGAUAUUUUGUAUGAAAUCUGAAUCCGUUGAUGAGGAACGCACUAUAUCUUUUAACCACUCGAUCUGGACCUUGGGAGAGCCAUUUAACUUCGUCGUUUACGUUCUUCCCACUCCGAACCUAUUGAAUGGAAAGUAAACCGAGUAAUUAAAAAUUAUUCAAUGUAGACAAUAUUUCAUAGCACACACCUCAAAAAUUUUCACAAACAAAAAGAAAAACAAUUAAAAAAAAGAAAAAGAAAACCCUGAACUACUAGAAUUAAAGAAACCUAUAGCAGGCAGAAAAAUGUAAAGCAACCUUCUUUGUAGCAGGCAUGGCCUCAAGUAUUAUAACCACAAAGAAUAUCUGACAACAAUUGCCUACACCAAACCAACAUGGACUUGUAAAACAAUUCCCACAAGAAGUUGGGUUAAUUUUAUAUGAAAUAGUUUCCCCGCAAAAAUCUAGCUUUUUGGACUUGUAAAACAACAAAUCCAAGUGAAAUGACUUUAGUUUAAAAUUUAAAUUACGGCACUCUCCGCCAUUCAGCCAAUAGUGCUUUUUAAAGAUAUACAAGUAAAGAAAAACAAACUGAAUGAACAAGAUAGGGAAUGACAAGGCCCAUGAGGAAAAUAAUGAAAAAAAUAAAAAUUCAGAUAAUAGUUGAAACAGAACUAACGGUUCUAGGAGAAACUUGGACAAGCCCAGAUACAGAUUUAUACACUUAAGGUAGCCAAAAUUUUCAAUGGCAGCAAAAAUGAAAAAAAAAUGUAUAUAUAUACAGAAAAAGGAACUGAAAUCUUGUAGAAAGAGAAGAGGUGGCUCACUUCUCGGACGUGGAUAAGCAGACGGAGAAACAACGAAAAUGAAGCACAGAUUCAAAAGAGAUGAUUUAAGAGAAAAAGUUUUAUAUUUAUUUAUUCAUUUGCCUUACUAAUAAUAUCAAAUUCCAAGCAGGAAAGAAAGGUUGAAUUCCAAGCAUUGAUUUUAAAUGUCAAAGGAACGAUGACACCUUCGCCGAAGAUCUCCGGUGUGUCAACAUCGUCGACUUCCAUGGCUGAACCUUGGUCGUCUGGGUCCGUCACGAAUUCCAUCGGCUUCUAAGCUUCUAGGGAUUUCUUUCCCCCUUUUUCUUUAGGCUUCUAGGGAUUUCUUUCGUUGUUUUAAUUUUAAUUAUUUCUGUUGAAAUAUCUUUCCCCUCUUUUCCUUACAAUAAAUUAUGGAUUUUGUGGCGUUUUUAGAAAAAACGAAGCUAAAAAAAUUAAAUUUUUGUAGUGAAACGGCACGUUUUGGAAAAAUUUAAUAAAUAUUUGCGGCGUUUUUUGUCCAAACGCCGCUAUUGCUUACCUUUUGCGGCGUUUUUCUCAUAAAUGCCGCUAAUGGUUGAUUUUUUUUAUAAUUUUGUAUUUAAUUAUUAUAUAAUUCAUAAUCCAUAAUUCCUAAUUAUUUAAAUUAUUUAAAAAAAAAGAAAAUCAAGAAUUGUAGAUUUAAUGUUGAUAUUAUAAAUUACUGGUAAAUUCAAAUAAAAAUCUAUCUUAUCUAAACAUUUUAAAUAUAUAUAUAUUUUCAAAUUGUUAAAUUUCAGUCCUAUAUAAAUGAAUCACCAUCCUGUUUCAACAUUCGGCUUUCGAAAUUUCAAUGGAAUUUACAGAAAAUAUUUUGUUAUUUUAUUUAAUAAUUAGGUGUUUUGUGAGAUAAUAAGUAAGAAAUUUAAUUGACAUAUUAUCUUAAUAUGUUAUAAAAAUACUGUUAUUAUCUUAAUUAUAUUACUUACAUUCUAAUGAUUUAUCGGACCUAUUCCAUACACGUGUCAAAUCAGAAAAAUAAUACAACAAUUCUGUAAAAAAAAAUUCGGUGUUUACUUCAAAUAAAUAAGGAAAAUAAUAAUUUGAAUGUUUCAAAAUUCAAUUUUAAACCGAAAAAUCAAAAUUUAGAGGCAAAAAAGGAUCUUUUUCGACGAAAACUGCGGCAAACUGCCUUCGGCAAUUUGUCAGGGCGUAGAUCUCGAAAAGUUAUUCGAGAUAAAAAAAAUGGCCUCAAUUGGACAACCGAGCCAAAAGUUAUGGCCUUUCAAAAUUUUCCAAGCUAAAAAACAUAAACUGUUCAUGAAUUAUUACUUCAAAACUCACCGUUUCGUUUCCAUUGAUUUCAUCGUGCACCAUUUCAAUUGAUUUCACAAAUCCCGCCUCUAAUCCUCCCAAAAUUUGACAUCCCUCCAACUCUACACAACGAUUCAAAAUGCUUUCUUUUUCAGGCAAAAUACCAAAAAAGCCCUAUAUUUUUAAAAUUUAUCGAAAUGGGCCCGGUAUUUUAUUAUUUACCGAAAUGGGCCAUUUUUCCCGAAAUCGCGUCCACGUCAGCGCGAUACCAGGGGACGUGUUGAAACUCUAAACCCCAAAUCCCUAACCUAAUUAUUGAAACCUUAAACCCCAAAUCCCUAAACCCUAACCCCUAAAUCCCAUAACCCAUAAAUCUCUCUAACCUCUAAAGCAUAACACUGAACCCCUAAACCUUAAUUCACAAACCCAAAAUCCAUACCUCGGCCUACUCCUUAAACUCUAAACCAUAUAAUAUAGUGAUAAUUAAUUCAAUAUUUUUAAAUUAAUACUAUCUCUUUUACGAUUAUAUAAGAAAUUAUUUAAUAUAUAAGCUAAAAAAAUCAGUAAUGUAUCCAAAAAGCUUUAAAAUUAUUUUAAAUAAUAGUAUUUUAAUUUUUCCAUUUUUAACAAAUAUUUUAAAUUAUUUUAAAUCCCUGAGCAUUAGCGGCGCUUUUGUAAAAACGCUGCUAAAUCCCCGAAAGCUCAGAAAACGGCAUCGUUGGGUUUAGGUUUUUUUGCGGCGCUUUCCCAAAAACGCCGCUAAAGCCCUGAGCAUUAGCGGCGCUUUCUUAAAAACGCCGCUAAAUCCUCAAAAGCUUAGAAAACGGCGUCGUUGGGUUUAGCUUUCCCAAAAACGCCGCUAAAGCCCUAAGCAUUAGCUGCCCUUUCUUAAAAAUGCCGCUAAAUCCCCGAAAGCUCAGAAAACGACGCCGUUGGGCUUAGUUUUUUUUACGGCUUUUUCCCAAAAACACCGCUAAAGCCCUGAGCAUUAGCGGCGCUUUCUUAAAAACGCCGCUAAAUCCACGAAAGCUCAGAAAACGACGCCGUUGGGCUUAGUUUUUUUUGCGGCGCUUUCCCAGAAACGCCGCUAAUGCCCUGAGCAUUAGCGGCGCUUUCUUAAAAACGCCGCUAAAUCCACGAAAGCUCAGAAAACGGCGUUGUUGGGCUUAGUUUUUUUUUGCGGCGCUUUCCCAAAAAUGCCGCUAAUCCCCGAAAGCUCAGAAAACGGUGUCGUUGGGCUUAGGUUUAUUUGUGGCUUUUGAGCAAAAACGCAAGUAAAGUCCUGGGUAUUAGCGGCGCUUCUCGAAAAACACUGCUAAAUCCUCGAAAGCUCAGAAAACGACGUCGUUGGACUUAGAUUUUUUUGUGGGGCUUUAGCAAAAAUGCCGCUAAAGUCCUGGGUAUUAGCGGCGCCUCCCGAAAAACGCCGCUAAAUCCCCGAAAGCUCAGAAAACGGCGUCGUUAGGCUUUGGUUUUUUGUGGCGCUUCGGCAAAAACGCUGCUAAAUCCGCUAAAGCUCAAAAAAUGGCGUCGUUGGUCUUAGGGUUUUUUGUGGCGCUUUGUCAAAAACGCCGCUAAUGCCCCGAAAGCUCAGAAAACGACGUCGUUGGGAUUAAGUAUUUUGUGGCGCUUUCGCAAAAUCGCCGCUAAUGCUUAUUUCAUCGGCGUUUUCCAUGGAACGCUGCUAAUGGUCGAUCUUUAGCGGCGUUUUUUAUCCAACCGCCGCUAAAAACGCCGCUAAAAGUCUGUUUUGGUGUAGUGACCUUUUCAAGUAAUGAGUCAUUCCGAUCGGACCAAAUGAUAUAAUUUUGGACUGGAGUUAGACUUUAUUUUAUUAUUUUAAGUUUUUUUGUAAACUCGGGCUAAAUUGACCUAUUACAUUCAUAAAUAAAAUUUAUAUUUAAAUCAUUUUUGUAAAUAAUCAAAUUUAAAACCCACAUUUUACAGUGUUGUGCUUCUGGAUUCAUCGUAGGCCUAAGAGUUGGCAAGAUCAUGAGUGACAUAGUGGGUAGUUGUUGUGUAAUGUCAAUCUACAGAAGACACGUAAUUAGAAAGUGACAAAAUUAUUGUCCUUCAGUUGUAGGACAUCCCAUGCAUUUACACUUUGAAAAAUAAUGCAAAGAGCUGACGCGUAAGGACAGCAAUUAAUGGUACGGUAUUCAUCUGUCUCAUAAUUAAUUAAUAUGGCCACAACCACAAGGCUUGUGCCAAAUCACCCCCUACUUCAUUUGACCCCAAUCUGAACUGAAAACCAUGCCUCCAACUUCUUUGCUCCUUAGCUGGGACUGAAUUAUGUUAUUUUACAUUUCCUAUUUGCUUUAAUAUUAUAGAUGUAUAUUUAUUUUAUUUACCCUAUACAAAUUUACAUUAUCCUCUAUCAUUUUAUUAAAUAUAUAUAUAAUAACACCCUUAAACAAUUAAAUUAGGAUUCAACUUUUUAUGGGUUACUUAUUUAAUGAUUUAACCUUUCAAAAUGGUCACAUGAGCGUUACUUUUAUAUACGUAUUUAAAUAAGAGUUUUUCAUACGCUUCAAUUAAGUUCAUAUUAAAAAUUAGUUAAAUGAUAAUAUGUUUAGAAUAAAAUAAAUAACAACUAAAUAAAAUAUUAUUUAAAAAGAAAAGAAAAGAAUAAUAACAUAAUUUGAAACCCAAUAUACGAUAUCUAAGAAGCCAUUAUUUUUGUAGUUUUGAAAUGGUUUGGCUAUUAUUUAAGCACUUUCGAAAAGGUUCGGCCAUUGUUUGAACAUUUUGAAAAGUUUAGCCUUCUUUUGAGCACUUUUGUAAAGAUUAGGCCUUAUAUGACAAUUUUGAAAGAUUUGAUCCUUAUACGAGCUACCCUAAAAGGUUAGACCUCAAAUUGAGCAUUUUUAGCUUUUGAUUUAUUAUUAUUAUUGUUAUAACAUUAAUGUUAUAUAAAAUGUUGAAUAAUACAAUGAGUGUGAUUCACACUAUAAGGGGGUGUGAAGAGCCUCUAGAAUGGGGCAAUUUACACCAUAGAUGAUGCGAUUGGAUUUUAAGUUGUAACACCUUGAAUAAUUUAAGUCUGUUUUUGUGAAAUUUAGGGUCUGUCUGAUUGCCAGUAAAAUGUUUUCCGUAAAAUAAUUUUUGGAAAAUGUUUUACUUUUCUAUAAAAUGAUUUACUGGAAAAUAUUUUUUGGUGUUUGAUUGAAUCCGUGUAAAAUAUUUUCUGCUGUUUGGCAGAUUUCCUGAAAAUAUUUUUCGAAAAAGUUAUUUUUACAUAUAUUAAUAUAUAUUAAUAAAUUUUUAUAUUUUAUUGCAAUGAUUUAUUUAUAAUAAUACUCAAUUAUUAAGCUACAAUAUUAAUCGUUAAAUUAAAAAAAACUAAAUUAAAUAUAUAAUAAUACUCAAUUAUUAAAAUAUAAAAGCAUUGCAAACUACUUCCGAAAUUUACUAAUUAGUAGUGAAUCAAUUGUAGUGAUCUCCUGAUGAAAUUACGCUCAGCAUAAAAGCAAUUUUUUUGUUGUCUUACAAACAACACAGAUAGCAUCAUUAUCAAAUUUCAGCCACUCUCAAGUAUAACCAAUUCCUUAGCCAACCAAUCUACAUUGUAACACAAAGCUAACUCCUAUAAAAAUUAUCCCAAUGCACACAUUUACAGAAAUAAAUAUGUAUAUAUGUAUGCAUUCAACAAAUACAUAACCAUAUGCAUGCAAUCAGCUAUGUUCUUUGAAAGCUACUACUAGAUCAAGCAUUGCCCCAAUACCAUAGGUUGCCAUCCAAUAGAGAGGAAAAAAUACAAGCAAAGAACCCAACUUUUUACUUAGACAUAUGGCGAAACGUGCUCAUGCAACUGGUAAGAAAAAAUCACUCAUGGCCCAAAAAAGAAUUUCAUAAAACUGAUAGUAAAAUCAAAAUGAAUGAUACAUACAAUCAAAAUUUUCAACUGACACCUAUUGAUUUAAUACAACCAGGUAAAGAGGCCGACAACCAUCUGAUAUCUAUGAAGCAAAUGAACUAGCAAUAUACUAGAAAUAUCAGCAAUUGCAAUCAACAAAGGCAACAGGCUCCAUUGAAGUCCCCAAUUUAAAUCUAUUGAUUUAAUACAUGCUCUCAUUGAAGUCCCCAACUCUAGGAAUAUUGUUCUGCCAGAAGCUAGUCAGUUAAGCAAAAUCAAUAAAAAUUCAAGAAACAUAAACCCAAACCUAGAUAAACUACUGCAUUUAUCUUACGGUGCUUGCCAAUUACGUUGCCAUGAUUUCCAAUUAUAACAGAAAUGGAGUUCUGAAAAAGACCGACCCGUACCCGGGGUUCUCUUAACAACUCUUUGUCAGCAGAAAAUUUGAAAGCCUGGAAUGAUUUGAAAUGGAAAAGCACUUAUAACUGCCUUCUACAAUAUACUUGUAUUGAAAUGACAAAAAUUGAGGCACAAGGUGAUAAGAGCUAGAAAGGGGUGCAAGUGAUAAUAGACAUUAACAUGUCCUUACCUUCCAAUAAAUUUAAAAUGGCAUAUCCAUCGCAAGAAUUUUUAUGAUUUGUACCCUCGACAACAUUGGUGAAGAACAACACAACCUAUAAAAUUGUUAUAAGUAUCCUAAAUUGAGAUCUACCUUGAUCAUUAGAGACAAGAUUAGUGCUUUGUUGUAGCACAAUUUAAAAUAAUUGUUUAUGAAAGCAAGACAAUGUGCAAGUACACAAGCAUGAGAGCAACGGAGCUUUCAAUUUUAUCUAUUAAUGGUUUUCACAUGUCUUGAGAGAGAAUAUGAUUGCUAGAUAUUACAAAAGGUUAAACAAAAAAGGUAGGCUAUAUUCUGUACUAGCUCUACAAGUUCAGAGUACAAAAACCACAAGCACUUCUAAUAAAUCAAAUUCUACAGGUCUCUAAUGGUCAGAACCAUUACUCAUUUAUCUUCAGAAAACAGGAGUGGCGAGUUGCAAAAAUCUAUACCUCAUCAACUUCCAUUGAGAGAUCAUUCACACUUUGCCUAAGUAAUCCUUUCAAUCUUCCUUUCUUGAAAUCUGAAAGCUCAGCACCAAUGUUGUUUUCAAAAAGUGAAUCAACAUCUUUAGGACUACAAUCCAUAGACUCUUUAUCAUUGACCACCAUAUACUUCCCUUGAGACAACUCAGAUGCAUUGGAAUUGGACAGAGUAUUUUUAUCUUCUGACAACAGGUCAGCUAUUUGACAAGCAUAGAAGCUAAAGAAAUCAGGUCCAGCUUUACAUUGCUUACUCGAACCAUCUGAAUUUCUCGGCAUCUCUGACAUGAUAGAAGUACUACUACUCUGCAUACGACAACUACAUAGAUAUGAAUCAGUCCAGACUCCAGAUAAAUAACUGAAGCAAAAGAGGAAGAAGCACCAUUAUAUAUACUAUACAAAUUUCUCUCUAAAGCUAUAUUUAGAAACAUGAAUUUGAACAUUUGGAUUUAAUUUCAUUUGUUAUAAAAAUCUACGGAUAAAUAAAUAUUGAUGAGCUAAGAUGAUGGAUCUCUAUAUCAAUGAAUCGUUAUAAUGCAGUAAUGUUGGAUAAAUAAAUAGGCACUUGAAGAUCAAACUCAUGUUUUGAAGAGAGGGCUUUAGCUGAUUCAGGUGGAACAAUAGUUUCAAGUGUUGUUCCGCAAUUCAGCCUUAGAAGCAAUCGGCUGACUUCCUGUUAAUAAACCAUAACAAAAUUCCAAAAGAUUGUUACUUUCACCAGCAAUAAGAUCAGUAGAUUUUGACUUUUAAUAGGCAAAACAUGUUACUUGUUAAUGAGAUAAACUGUUUACAAAUUCUAGGAUCGUCUGCAAUGAUUAUUUCAGUGGCAAAAACUGACUAAAAUGACAAUAACCAAUCAAUUCAUAAUAGACAAUAUGAAAUGGGUUUCCUUUUUCAUGAUCAAAUUUGCUUUUACAAUAUAUAUAUAUAUAUAUAUAUAUAAGCAAGAAAAAUAACAGGAAAGACAAAUAAAUUACAACCCGGAAAGUGGGAAAAAAGAAAAAGAAAAGACCUGGUAGAGUUGAGGCUUGAGAUUUGCGCUCAAGAGGUGGUGAAGCGAAUUAUACCCACAAAUUGAUCCAUAUUUGAAACUUUCUUUUUCUUCUGUGCUUCCAUUUUCUUUCCCAAUUCCAUCAGUUUUUUCAUUUUCUGAUUCCCUCAAUUAUUGCUCCGAAAUCAAAACAUAGAAAAAAGGUUGAUGAACGCCGGUGUCUAGUGUUAAGAAUCGAUGUUGGUUGAUGGCAAGCAGAAGAUCAGGUGUCAAGGAUAGGAGAAAGGGAAGGGCAAGGGAAAGGGAAAGGGAAAGGGAAGAUCGAUGUCUAAAAUUUUCUUGAAAAUGUCUUAUCGAAUUAGAAACGGUAAGAUAUUUUCCAAAAUUAAAGGCUUCUUUUUCCCGUAUUUGUAAUUGAUUUUACGUGAAGAAAAUAUUUUCAGCCAAACAAACACUGGAAAAGGCUGAAAACCUUUUCCGGAAAAUGUUUUACUACAAUCAAACAGAGCCUUAACAUAAAAUGUGUAUUUGCUUCAGUGGUUAAGUGUUCUGGGUGUGUGUAUGAGGUUUUGGGUUCAAGUCUUUAUUUUGGAAUUUUUUUUUAUUUUUUUAUCCAAGCCUUAUCUCUAUUAGGUGGGCUUAUGUUUUAUCUUUAGUAAACCCAAAUCAGAAUGAGCCUGUUGGUUCGAGCAAUAACGAGUUAGCUUGCUGAAGGUCCUGUGUUCGAUUCCCUGUGUGAGCGUGGAUGAUAUUUUUGUUUUAGUUGUGAGAUAGAGGUUAGGUGAAAGUAAAAUUCUAAGGUGGUGGAGAGUUAGUCGGUUAGUUAGUGGAAUAAUGGAAAGUUGAGAUAUUAGGGGUUUCAAAUUUUAUUUUAAUUUUUUUUCUUCUCAAAGUUUUUGACGUCAGUUUUAUUUUAUUUUUCCCUCUUUUAACAUUUUUACCUUCUCGGUAAAAUCCUUUUCAUUUCUCUUUGAUUCUAUUCGUGAAUCCCUCGUUCAAAUCAUUGCUACUGUGAUUUUUGGGUUCUUUAAUCGGUUGGUAAGUAGAACUUCGUAUCUCUUUAACAAUUGGUUUGAGAUAUUGGCAAUGUUAAGUUGUAGCGAUUAAUUAGUAGAUUCUGUGUUUAGGAGAAGAUUGUGAAGCAGAAAAUUCACUCCGACAGCCUAAUCCGUGUUAGUGGUGGUUUUCAUUAACGAUAAGUUUGUGAUCGUUGUUGAAUUUUUGUCACGAAUUUGUAAAUUGGUUGCUAAUCGGGGUUAGAGAUACUAUUUACAGGUUUUUAUGGUCUCGGGAUUGAUUAUACUACAAAAAUAAACCAGGUGUGUAACCCUAACGUGAGAAAAUGAGAUUCGACGAAAGUUAAAAUUUAGGUUUGUCGACGCCACACUAGCGUGUGCCCGGUCGUGUGCAAGACAUGGUCGUGUGACUUAUAAGGGUAUGGCCCUGCGUAAGACACGACCGUGUAACAGUGUUAGUGUGGCUGUGUGGACUUCACGGGCUGGGCGAGAUUGGCCGAAUGGGCCCAUACGGGCAAGCCACAUCGACGUGUGGGCCCAUAAUUCUAAAAUUUUCCCUAGGAUCUCACUGGUCGUUUUGAUUGAAUGUGAACCUAUUAUAGGGUCGGUAAGGGCUAAUCAAACUCUAAUUCAUGUGAUCUGAUAUUCUGAUAGUCUGAUUUGAGUAGGACAUUGAUAUGUAUGUAUGACUGUUCUGUUUGAGUAUAUAUAUAUGUGUUAUCUAUAUACGAACAUGUGUUAAUUAUGUUAAUUUUGUAUUAUGUAUUGUGUUUAGGGUGGGAUUUGUAUAUAUGGAGGAAGUGAUCUGUACGGUGACCUUUCGCCUAUAUUCUGGUAGCUUGGCUGCGUAUUAUCUAUUAUGUGUCGCAUCAAAACUCUAUGGUGUCUAGGGAUGGGUGGGUGUUUUUAACCCCCACAUGGUGUGAUGGGAUGGACGGAGAUGGUGUGUAGAGGAUGGGGGUAGGAUUUUGUAUAUUCGUUCUAUUUAUCUGAUAUGAUUUCUGUAACUGUUGUGGACUUAGGUUCGAAUCUGUUUCUGACUGUAUAUGAAACUUUGUGUAUGCUGCAUGUCUGUCUCUGUUGGGUUACACACUGAGUUUAUAUAAACUCACAUUUGUUUGACUUUUUUGUUCAGGUAACCUAUAGACAUAGGCGGGUCAGUGCGACGGAGGCUCAGCGGUGACCACUCGAUAGAAAACUGUUUCCAUUUAUUAUUUCAUGGUUUUUAUUUAAAUUUCUAAUUUUCGUGAGAGUUUUGUAAUUUUUGGACUCUCCAAACUUUUUGAACUGUUUGGUUUCAAUUUUUGGUUUGGUUGGGUUAUGAUUUCUAAACUACGACAAUUCGACAAAAUAUUGAUUUUACGUGAUCAAAUGUCAUCGAGCCUGGUUUCUAUUUAAACGACUUUUCAAACUUCCGCUGCUAAAUGAUUUGGUUAACCUUAAGGGAUAACAUGUAACUGUUUCAUUAAUAAAUAUAUAAGUGAAUACGUUUUACAAAACUUGGACGUUUUAUUGAAAUAUUAUUGGUUUUAAAACCUUUCUUCGUAACACUCCUGAAUUCGGCCAUAACGUCUAGGUCGAGUUUGGGAUAUUACAUUUAGUGGUAUCAGAGCCAGGUUGUAAAACUCGGGUUAUGAAUUUUGGAUUCCAAAAUUUUGUCUUGAAAAAAGACUAGUUUUUAAAUAAUUUAGAUCAUUCCUGAGUAAGUAUGUGAUACACCAAGUCUUCGGUGUCGAUUUUAUAAGUAUCUCUAAAUUUUGAAAAUACAAUAGAUAGUACUUUAUGAAAUUGUAAUAAGUUAGUUAAAGACUAAAACCUCUGAAAUACUUCUGAACUUUUGAUAUUUUAAGCAUAAAAUAUUUGUUAAUAAAAAUUGAAACUGAGGCAUAAAAUUUUAUAAUGUAAAUAAAAUUAAAAAUACGAUGAGUACUCAUGAAACUCAUGGUCAUAGUAAUCGUGGACGUGGCGGGCGCCGUAGUAGGGCUUGAGUUGAGUUUUCCUCUCUAGGCAGUAUGCCAAAUUUAGAUACGAGUGAGGCACCGGUUUUACUUACUACAAAGACUGGGUUUGAAAGCCGUUCGUCUGGGGACGAUGCACUGUCCUAAUCUAUGUUGAGAGUGUUGGAGAGGGUUGCUAGACCCUAUUCGGGAUCUGGAGGUCGUAGGUCGAUAACAAAAUGACUUCGAUCCAAUAGAGUUGAGUUGUUUAGAGGUGUCACUAGAGUCACCUUUACUGUGGACGAGUAUUGGUUAGAGGCCAAUAAGAGGAUUAUGAAUGACAUCUACUGCACUCCUGAGUAGAAAUUAAAAGGUGCAAUCUCUUUGUUUCACGACGAAGCUUAUCAGUAGUGGUUGUCAGUUGAGGAGGGUAUUCAACCGGAUCAUCUGAACUGAGACUACUUUAAGACCGCUUUCUAGGGAAAAUAUGUGGGUGCAAGCUCUGUGGAUGCUUGUAGGCGUGAGUUCACGAAUCUCACGCAAGGUGAUAAGUCUGUGGUCGAGUAUGAGGUCAAAUUUCUGAGACUGAGUCGCUACGCUCAAGGCAUUGUGGCAUCUGAGUAUGAGAAAUAUGUUUGUUUUAAGGACGGCUUGAGGGAUAGUCUGAGGGUAUUAAUUGCUUCACAGAGAGCGAGAGUUUGCUGUUCUUGUGGAUAAGGCGAAGAUCGCCGAGGAGGUUAAGGACGUAGAGUGCUAGAACAGAUAUCGUGAGAGAGGCAAGAAUAAGAAGGAUUCAGAGCCCUCUAGUUCUAUUCAGAGGCCUAAGAAAUUGCCCAGACCUGAUGGGCCUGUUAGGGUGGGAGUUAUUAUUGCUCUUACUAGGAUUCAGCCUUGUGGUGACUGUGGUAGGCUUCAUCUGGGUAAGUGUUGGAGGAGAUCGGGGCUUAUUUGCGGUAUGGGUCUUUAGAGUACCAGAUUAAAGAAUAUCCACAUCGUACCAAUUAGAUGCAAGCUACGGGACCAGGUUUUGUUCAGCCUCAGAGGACAGUACAACAGCCACCUAAGGGUCGUGGAUUGGCUAGGAGUGGUAAUGGUAUGAGUCAUGGACAGAGAGUACCAGACAAAGGUGUUAAUCAGACUGAGGCGAGACAACCUGCACUGGUUUAUACUGCUCGACGCCGAGAGGAUAGAGACGCUCCUGAUGUGAUCACGGAUACGUUUUUAAUUUUUGAUAUUUCAUAUAUUACUUUGAUAGACUUAGGUUCUACACACUCCUAUGUAGCUAGUGUUGCUUCUGAAAACUUGAGAAUUUCUAUUGAGUGUACUUGUGGUGAGAUUAUUGUACUGAGUCUGUUGGGACAGUCUGUUUGGGUAAAUAGACUUUAUAGGAAUGUUUCGUUGGAAGUAUAAUGGGUUAUCUUUUCGGUAAAUCUGAUGGAGCUAUCGUUUGGGGAGUUUGACUUAAUUCUAGGUAUGGACUGAUUAGUUGAACACCGAGUUAGUUUGGAUUGCGUAACUAAGAGGGUCAUUUUGAGGACCAAAGAUGAUAAGGAGGUGGUUGUGAUUGGUGAGUGUCGAGAUUACUAGUCUAAUAUAAUCUCCGCUCCAGUAGCUGAGAAAUUAGUUUGAAAAUUGUGAGGCGUAUUUAGCCUACGUCAAUAUUUCAGUUUAUGGGGACUCUGCUGUCGGGGAUAUCAGAACAGUGAGGGAAUUUUUGGAUGUUUUUCUUGAGGAAUUGCUGGGUUUACCUCUGAAUCAAAAAGUUGAGUUUGACAUUAAGCUUCUACCGGGUACAAAAUUGGUAUUUAUAGUUCUUUACUGUAUGGCACUGAAGGAGCUUACAGAGCUUAAGGUUUAACUUUAAGAGCUUCUGGUUUCAUCCAUUCUAACGUGUCUCCGUGGAGGGCACCAGUUCUAUUUGUGAAGAAAAAUGAUGGUACCAUAAGGAUGUGCAUCGAUUACUAGCAGUUGAAUAAACUGACUGUGAAGAAUAAGUACCUACUUUCGAGGAUCGAUGAUCUGUUUGAUCAAUUUUGAGGGGCUUCAGUAUUCUCAAAAAUAGAUAUCUGUUUUGGGUAUCAUCAACUUAGAGUUAAGGAAGCCGAUAUUUAUAAGACGGCUUUUAGGACUCGUUAUGGGCACUACGAGUUCCUAGUUAUGCCCUUUGGUUUGACAAAGGCUCCAACUGGAUUCGUAGAUCUGGUGAACCAAGUUUUUGGUGUACUCUAAGAUUGAGGAUAAGCAUGACGAUCAUCUUAGGGUAGUGCUUCAGAUACUUCGAGAGAAACAACUUUACGCUAAGUUGAGAAAAUAUGAAUUCUAGUUAUGAGAAAUAACAUUUUUGGGGCACGUGGUUUCUACUGAGGAGAUCCGAGUUGAUUCUAGAAAGAUUGAGGUUAUGCUUGACUGGAAACAACCUAAGAACGUAUCUGAGAUCCGUAGUUUUCUAGGACUUACAUGUUAUUAUUGGAGGUUUAUUGAGGGGUUCUCGUUGAUUGCAGCUCCUUUAACUAAGCUUCUGUGCAAGAGUGUUCCUUUCUUCUAGACUGAUGCGCAAUAAUCGAGCUUUGAGAAGCUCAAGUCUAUUUUGACUCAAGCUCUUAUUUUGAUAUAGCCUGAAUCUGGUAGGGAGUUUGUGGUGUACAGUGAUGCGUCGCACGUUGAUUUGGGAUGUGUACUGAUACAAGAUAGUAAGGUUAUGGCUUAUGCGUCUCAAUAGCUCAAGUCACGCGAGGGAAAUUAUCUGAUGCAUGAUCUCUAGUUGGCUACGGUAGUGUUUGUACUAAAGAUUUGUAGGCCCUAUCUGUAUAGUGAGAGGUGUAUUAUCUACACCGAUCACCAGAGCCUCAAGUACCUCCUUACUCAGAAGGAAAUCUUAGGCAACAUCGAUGGAUUGAGCUGCUAAAAGAUUAUAACUGCACAAUGGAGUAUCAUCCCAGUAAGACUAAUGUGGUGGCUGAUGCUCUCAGUUGUAAAGCGAUGACUGAUUUGAUAGUAGUGUUCGCUCUUCUUAGUCUGUUGGAUGAUGGAGGUCUGUUAGCCGAGUUGCAAGUUAAGCUGACUUGGAUUGGGCAGAUUUGGGAAAGGGGAUGAGUCACUGGUUCUGCGGUUUGUCAGGUUGGGAGUGGCUAUACUUUUGAUUUUAGACUGAAUAAGGAUGGAGUUCUGUGUUUUUGAGGACGGGUUUGUGUAUCAAAUGAUUUUGAUCUGUUCUGAGGGAAGCGUAUAGUAGUCCUUAUGCUAUACAUCCUAGUGGUAAUGGAUUUUCGUGAGCUGUACUAGUGGCCGAGGUUGAAACGAGAGGUAAUAGAUUUUUUUAUUCAUUGUCUGAUAUGCCAGCAAAUUAAAGUUGAGCAUUAGUUUCCUUCAAGUUUUCUCCAACCCGUUAGGAUUCUUUUAUAGAAAUGAAAACGAGUGAUGAUGGACUUCGUUAGUGGGUUGUCCUUGACACUCAUUAAGAAUAAUUUUGUUUGGGUCAUCAUGCAUCGAUUGACCAAAUCUGCCCAUUUGAUUCUGGUCCAGACGAACUUCUUUCUACAAAAGUUAGAGAAGCUCUAUAUCUCCGAGAUUGUAAGACUGCAUGGGGUUUCAGUUUCGAUAAUUUUUGAUAGGGAUCCUUGCUUCACUUCUCGUUUCUGGAUGAAACUUUAGGAAGCCCUAGGUUCGAGAUUGGACUUCAGUACUGCGUUUCAUCCUCAGACCAAUGGUCCAUCAGAGAGGGUGAUUCAGAUACUGGAGGAUAUGCUUCGGAGUUGUGUGAUUGAUUUUUGAGGUAAUUGAGAGGAUUUUCUGUUGUUAGCUGAAUUCACCUGUAAUAAUAGUUUCUAUUCUAGCAUUCAUAUGGCACCUUACGAGGCUUCGUAUGAUCAUAAGUGUCGUACUUCACUAUGUUAGACUAGUUAGGUGAGUGAUAGAUUUUGGGUCUUAAGUUGGUUUUCUAGACUGAAAAUAAGGUUAGAUUGAUUCGGGAUUGUCUGAAGGCGACUUUUGAUAGACAGAAGUCCUAUGCAGAUCUAAAAAGGAGGGAUAUUGAGUACUCUGUGGGUGAUUCUGUAUUCUUUAGGGUAUCACCGUGGAAGAAGGUUCUACGAUUCGAUCGUAAUGGCAAGUUAAGCCUUAUUCAUUGGGUCGUACCAGAUUCUGAAGCAUGUGGGACUGGUUACUUAUCAGUUAGAGUUACUUCUAGAGUUGGACUAUAUCCAUGAUGUGUUACACGUCUCGAUGUUGAGGCGGUACUAGUCUGAUCCAUCUCACGUUGUCUUUGUUGAGGAGAUCGAUGUUAGACCAGAUUUAACUUUUGAGGAGGAACCGGUUCAGAUUUUGGAUCGAGAUAUUAAGGUUUUGAGGAGGAAGUCCAUAUCGUUAGUGAAGGUUCUGUAGUGGAAUCAUGGCAUUGAGGAAGCCACGUGAGAACUUGAGGACUUGAUGCGUCAGCAGUAUCCUCAUCUGUUCGGAUCAGGUAAAUUUCGAGCCAAAAUUUCUUUUAGAGGGUAGAGUUGUAACGCCCUGAAUAAUUUAAGUAUGUUUUUAUUAAAUUUGACAUAAAAUGUGUAUCUGCUUCAGUGGUUAAGUGUUCUGGGUGUGUGUAUGAGGUCUUGGGUUCAAGUCUCCCUUUUAGCAAACUUUGUUAUUUUGAUCCAAGCCUUAUCUCUGUUAAGUGGGCUUAUGUUUUAUCUUUAGUAAACUUAUAUUAGAAUAAGCUUACGGGUUCGAGUUAUAAGGAGUUAGCUUGCUAGAAGUCCUGUGUUCGAUUCCCUGUGUGAGCGUGGAUGAUAUUUUUGUUUCGGAUGUGAGAUAGAGGUUGGGUGGAAGUAAAAUUCUGAGGUGGUGGGGAGUUAGUGGGUUAGUUAGUGAGAUAAUGGGAAGUUGAGAUAUUAGGGGUUUCAAAUUUUAUUUUAAUUUUAAUUUUAAUUCUUUGUCUUCUCAAAGUUUCUGACGUCAAUUUUUUUCUCUUUUUUCCCUCUUUCGACAUUGUUCCCUUCUCGGUAAAAUUCCUUUUCUUUUUUCUUUGAUUCUAUUUGUGAAUCCCUUGUUCAAAUCGUUGCUACUAUGAUUUUCGAGUUCUUUAAUCGGUUGGUAAGUAGAACUUCGCAUCUUUUUAACAAUUGGUUUGGGAUAUUGGCGAUGUUAAGCUAUAGCGAUUAAUUAGUGGAAUCUGUAUUUAGGAGAAGAUUGUAAAGUAGAAAAUUCACUCCGACGGCCUAAUCCGUGUUAGUGGUGGUUUUCAUCGACGGUAAGUUUGUGAGCGUUGUUGAAUUUUUGUUAUGAAUUUGUAAAUUUGUUGCUAAGCAGGGCUAGGGUUACUAUUUACAGGUUUCGGUGAUCUCGGGAUUGGUUAUACUACAAAAACGAAUCAGGUGUGUACCCUUAACGUGAGAAAAUGAGAUUCGAUGAAAGCUGAAAUUAGAGUCUGUUUAUGCCACACGGGUGUGUGCCUGACUGUGUGGCACGACACGACCGUGUGACUGACGAGGGUGUGGCCAUGCGCAAGACACGGCUGUGUGAUAGUGUGAUAGGAGUUUGGUUGAGUGUGGGUCUUAGCUUAUUUGGUACCUUAGUUUUUUUUGUUCAAUUUAAUUCCUGAACUUAAUAUUUUUUUCUUAAUUUAGUACUUAAGCUUCUUUUUUUUCCAAUUUGGUAUCUAACUUGUUAAAGGUUUUACAAAUUUCUCCAAUAUAAUAACAAUUUUAUUUUUAUAAGGUGCGAAAAUAAUCAAUGUAUGAUUAACGUAUGACAGAUGACAUGAGAUUGAUUUUUUGUAUUUUAAUGGUUAAAUUACUUUUAAUUAAUUAUUUUAUUUUACCUUUUUAAUUUAAUAAUGAAUUUCUUUUUAUUUUUGGGUUUUAAAACUUUUUUUUCAAUAUUCAUUCAUUAAGCGUAGCUCAAAGUACAAUCUUUUAACAUAAUUUUCCUCUAAUACUGACAAUAUUUUUGUGGGAUUUGAUGGCUUUAUGAAAACUAGGUCAUGCUUUAAGCAUGUGGUUCCUCUUGUAACAUUCUUGCCAUUAACUGUCAAAGUAAUCUUAGCCUUGAUGAAAUGUAAAUUUUGAACAUGUUGUUUAGAAAAAUAGAGAAAACUUUAAAUAAAUGUAAUCAUCCCUGUCAUUAAAUUCCAUAUCAUUGGUCACAUGACAACCAUACGUUAGCUACCUCAUAAAAAAAAUGAAGAUCAUUAGUGUUUUGAGGUAAUUUGUAUAAUAUUUAAAAGGUUUAAGUGUCAAAUUAAAUAAAAAAUGAUUAAGUAUCAAAUUAUAAGAAAAAUGUCAAAAUUAAGUACCAAAUGUUAAAUAAUUAUAACAAUAUAUUAUUAGUCGGCUUACAGUUUGAUUUCCUCUUUCCCAGUUGAUUGGAACAGUUUGUGGACAAAGGGUUUGAUAUUAGAGGCAGGAUUUAGGGUUUAACAUUUAAAAAUUUAUGGUUAAAAGUUUAUAAGGUUUAAAAUUUAGGAUUUGUGUUUUGUAAAAAUAAAAAUAGAAGUAUAUAUUUAUUUUACAAAGUCACAAAUUUGUAAAAAAAAAAAUUAAAUUAAAUUAGUUUCUAGAAUUACAUUAAGAAUAAACUUUCAACAUUCACUCAUUUUCUUCUAAGAUUUUAAGAUAAUGGAUUUAUCAUGCGAAGACUUGAACCCCACAAUAUACGAUAUAUGAAGAUAAUGGAUUUAUUUAACCCCACCAUGCAACAUAUAAGGAUAUAUGGUUAGGUAAACUCAUAUUUUCUUUUAUAAAGUUUUACAAUUAAUAAAGAUUAUUUUUUAGUAAAAUAUAAAUUCAAACUCACACACAAAUAAAUUUAUGAUUUCGACCCUAAUUUCAAAUAUAAAUGAACUUUUAAAUUAUGGGUAUCGUAUUAUGAAACGAUAAACUUGCCACAUUGAAAUUUUUUAUAUGGAGUGAAUCUCAUAAUUUUUGUUUUCUUAAUUUUGUUUUAAAGCAAUGAAAUAUAGAUCACGUGAAUGUUGAUAUAAAAUGGGAAAUGGAGACGAGUGAUAUUAAUUUGUAGAUAAAGUUAAUAUUACGUAGUCGCAUAAAGCGGCAUAGUACACAACCCACAACUCUGGAAUUUUAACAUCCAUAUUUAUUCUGUAGCUAUCGUUAUUUUGGCUUCCACUAGCUGGUGAACUUUCCAUGCCAAAACUUCACUUGACGCUGCAAAUGAAACAACAAAAAACACAACAUUAAAUGUUGAGCAAGUAAUAAGCAUAAGCAAUGAAACAACUCAUACGAACCUGUUGCAGUCAGUGCUAGGGCUGAUCUUGUAAGGGAUGUUGACACCGCACUUGCCUGGGAGUCCGCUUGCAAUACCAUAGUUGAUGCCAGAAAUGCCGGCGGCCGCACUUUUGAUGCAUUUGCAAGCUGCUUGCCGGUCUGGUGUUGUUUGGGCGGCGGAGUUGAGAGAUUUUAUGCCGCCGCAGCAACCUGGGGGAACGCCACCAGCACCAUUCCCUGUCAAGUAACCAAUGCAGGGUGCGAGGGAGCUUGUGACUUGACCACAGGUUACGGCCCCUUGAGCCAGGGGUGCACCCACCACCAUGCACAACACCGCCACACAUGCAAGCUUAAGGGACAUUGAGCUAGCCAUAUCGAUUAAUCACAAGAAAAACAAACUUGUAAGGAAAAUGCUUGCUUGGAGUAGUAGUACUAUUGCUGAUUGUCGUGGUUAGGGCUUGAGGGUAGGAGGGUUUUUAUAGCCAAAAGUAGUAGCGGGUGAUGUCUGAAUUUUACUUUCCUAGCUAUUAGGUAAGUUGAGAUUAUCCGAUCCAAACAUUAACACACCACAUUAAAAGUUGAGACCAUUCAAUUAGGUUCAACUGCCAACCUACGUGAUUAUUGUUUUCUUUCAAUACAAUUAAAACCAGCGUCCAUUUGAUUUCACUCAAUCAUGCCUCCACAGCUAGGACUCAAAUAUUGGUUUAACUUUUUUCUAGGUGUUUUCUUAUAAACAUGAGAUUUACAUUUGAUGUAUUUAUAAAUGCAUUUAUUGUCAGAAUGAUACCAUUUUAUUAAAAGUAAUUUGAUUUAUAAUUGUUUGUAUAUAUACUUUUAUAUAUUAAGUCUUUAAUUGAAUUGGUAUUACGAUUCACCCAAGCAUCUAUUUAAUUGAAAAUUUGUUAAAAUAUUCAUAUAACAAAUAUUAAUAUUAAUAUAAAUGUAUUUUUAUUUUUAUUAUAAAUAAAACUAUAAUAAGAUUUAAACUUAUGACUCAUAAAUUUUACUCUUUUUAACUUAACUAUUUCAACUAAAAUUUCAUUUAGUUUUAAUAUAAAUUUUUAUAAAUAUAUUAUUUACAUGAAUUUUCCUUUUCCAGGCGGUAUGCCAUGGAACUAAUAUAAAAUAUAAACAAAUGGUUAUUUUGUUAUUUUCAAUGGAAAAAAAAAACUUCACAAGAUUAGGACACAUGCAUGGUUUUUUUAAUAUAUAUAUAUAUAUAUCAUGCAACAUUCUAAAUCUAUUUAUAGAUUAUUUUGUUGAUUGAAUUUUUAUUUUUUUUUAUUUUGGUAAUUAUAUAAAACUAAAUAUUUUCUUCGCGCAAUGUUAAGAGCAGUUUGAAAUUUAAAAGAAGUGUGGAUUCUAAUAAUAAAUUUAGUUAUCUAAUGUUUACAUAUUUUAUUAAUUUGGUCUUAAAUAUAAAAAUUAAAUUCAACAAAAUUAGCCCUCAAUGUUUACAAAAUUUUUCAUUUUAAUUCAAAUUCUAAAAUAAUCCAAUAAAUUUAGCUCUCAACAUUUACAAAAUGAAAGGAUUUGAUUUUUAAAAUUUUAAUUUUUUUUUUUAAAAACCCAAAACACAAACCUAAAUAAACUGAAAAAGAAGAAGGAAUAAUUAUCAUCACCACGAUCUAAUCUCUCAACUUUAAAAUAAGACUUCAACUUCGGUUUAACCCCAAGACAAGGCGAAACAUUGAAAGUAAGUGCAGCGGAUGCCAUUGAUUCUCCUACCUUUUGGCUAAACACAUAAAUUUGAACAACUUCAUACAUAACUAGCAGCAGUACUAAAAAAUCAUUAAUACUAUAUUUUCAAGUACAAGAAAUUGAAAAAAGAAUCACGGGUAGAGUACAAAAAUGAAAUUUGGUGUGAACCUAGAUUAACAAAACAAGGUUCACGGUUUCUCAAAAACACAAUACUAAAUUUUUAGAAUUUCUUGUGAAGAUCAAGCAAUGAGACAAAUACUGAAAUUGGCAAUGCCUUAAUAGCAAAUAAUAAUUCAAACCAAUGUAGAAAAAAGAUGAAGAAGAAGAAGAUAGGAAAAGAAUUUUUAGUUUACAUUAAAAGCCUUGAAAAGGUAGACCGAUAGGAUUGAUUGUUUUGAAUAUUACUCAACUUUCUCAUUAAUUCUUGUACUAUUAUGGCUAAGUGUGUUUUUAGAUGGUAAUGAAUUUUUUUAAUUGUUAAUAAUUUUUACAAUUAUUACACUUGAUUUGGCAGUUGUUUUUCUUUUUAAUUUACAAAAUUUUAAAAAAUUAAAAAUUUCUAUUUUGUAAAUGCUAAGAGCUAAAUUUAUUAUUAUUUAUUUUAGAAUCUAAACUAAAGUGACAAAUUUUGUAAAUAUUUGGUGUUAAAUUUAUUGGAUUUUUAUAUUUAAAAUCAAAUUGAUAGAAUGUGUAAAGAAAGUUAAUUUUUUUAUUAGACAAAUAAAAAAUAACCCAUUUCAACACUUCCGAAAAAUUUUCAAACGGCCGUUAACAUUUAGUGAUGAAAAUAUUUGAUUUCAUAUAGUUUAAUAAUUAAAAUAAAAAUAAUUAAAAAUUUAGUAAUCAAAGUAAAACACAAGUGAUAUUAUUCUAGUGAUCAUUUCUGUACUUGACCCUAAUUUUUUUUUCAAAACACUGUUAAAAAACGAUUAAUUUCUCGUUUUGGCCGGAGUUAAAAUUUUUAAUAUAUUUGUUUUUAUUAAAUUUAAAAAUUAUAAUUUUACAUAAUAUAUUUUUGAUAGAAUACAUAUGAUAUAAUUUUAAUCAGUGACACCUGUUAAAGCUUGUUAGAUCUCCUGUAUCUCUUUCAAUCUGGUGGUAAAUGAAGCAAUCAAUGAGUAUUACAACCAGCCACAUGUCAUUCAAUUCACAUUAUAUCAAUCUUUUCCCUUUUCUCUCAUUUUGGUAGUUAAUUCCUUUUUUUGUCAUCGAAAUUAUAUUUUUUUCUCAAAUUGAUAAUUUCCUUAAUCCGUUAAGUUUGUUAAAAGAAACCUUAAUCUUAUUUAAAUUAUAUCUUUUUUUUUUUAUUUUGAUACUUAAACAUUUUUGUCACAUGUGGUAUGUAAUUUAUUUUUUCUUAAGUUGUUAGUUUAAUUAUUACUCAAAUAGUUAAGUCUAUUUAAAAAAAGAUAACUAUUUAAAAAUUACCAUAUUCGAACUAGCUAGGCCAUUAGUUCCUGGUUUAAUCAGUUUAUCUAGUUUGAUGAAAUCAAUUAUUAAAAAUUCAUAAAAAUAAAAAUGUUAAAAAAUAGAGAAAACUAGCUCAACUAGUUUUUUUUUUAAGCUCGACUCAAUCAAUCUGUAUCAGUUUGUAGGUUAAUCGGUUCAAGCCCUAUCUCCAAACUAGUAUCCCAGUUGGUUCCUAGUAUUAAGGGUGAGCAAAAUUUGAAUCGACUCGAAAAAAUUUAAAAAAGUUCAAAUUUUGAAUUAUUUGAAUCGAGUUAAUCGAAUCAACUCGAUUUUUUUUUAAUUUCAAGUUCGAGUCGAGUUGAGUUUUUGAAUUCAAAUGACUCGAAUAAUUCGAUUAAGCCGAAUACCAAACUAUAAUAUUUUACAUUUUACCUCAAACCCCAAACCCUUUUACUUUUCCCCCAAAACUUUACUCAUUCCUCCUUGUCUGCCCCUGUAACGCCCCAAAUUUUGAAUUGUUACUGUUAGUUUCUAUUUAUAAGUAAGUAUUUGCUUCAGUGGUUAAGUGUUAUGUGUUGGUGUUUGGAUCGGGGGUUCAAGUUACACUUUUAGAGAAUUUUAUUAUUCUUUUGUUUCAACUCUUAUCCUUGAAUGCUUGAAUUAAGUUUGUAUCUGCAUUAAUUUGUGUCAAGAAUGAGUCUUCUAGUUUAAUGGUUAAGUUUUGUAUUACCUAUGGUCUCGUGUUCGAGUCUCUGCGUAGGCAAUAAAGAAAUAUUUUGGCAUGCUAUCGGGAAAUCAGUUUUAUUUUAAUAAUUAUUUUUAUUUAAAACUUAUUUUUAGUUUUUUUUAUUUUGGUUCUUCUCCUUCCUUACUGUUCAUUUCCUUCUUCUUUUUUCUCCUUUUGUAACACCCCUAACUCGAAUCCGUCGCUGGAACAGGGUUAGGAGUAUUAUUGAAGUUUACAAUUUAAACAGGCAGAAAAAUUAAACAUUUCAUAACAUAUAGCAUUCAUGUUAGAAACCAAUCAUAAUUAUGCAUAUUGUCCCUAAUACGAGCCCUCGAGGCCCAAAAUACACCUUAGAAAUAAUUCGGGACUAAAUUGAAAAUUCGGAGCAUUUUUUAGAAACUUAUAAAAUUUUUAAAACUACAGGGGUCACAUGGCCGUGUGGCUAGGUUGUGUGACUCAUAUGGCCAACAGACACGCCCAUGUCUUAGACCGUGCGGGUAUUCGAAAUAGGGACACACGGUCGUGUCCCAGCCAGUGUCCAUGCCCGUGUAACUCACUAACUUGGGCCACACGGUCAAGCCAUACGCCCGUGUGCCAGGCAUUGUGAGCAUACUAACUUGCAUUCUUUAAAAGAUACAGGGGACACACGGCCAUGUCACCUGACCGUGUGUGACACACGCCCGUGUCUCUGCCCGUGUGGACAAAAAUAGGCUAUUUUUCAAGUCAUAAAUAUUCAUGUAUUCUUUAAAAGAUACAGGGGACACACGCCCGUGUCUCUGCCCGUGUCUCUGCCCAAUUUGGUACCAACCUAAACACAACAAUUUGCAUAUAACCAAGUCAUAAAUAGGCAUCCAAAACCAGCCAAAAUCAAGCUUAAAACAUGUAAUAUCAUCACAUACAACCAAUAUGCCCUUAGGCACCUCAAAUGACAACUUAUAAUAUUAAUAUUCAUGUAUUCAAUAUAGCCAAAUGUAUAACUCACUUAUAUGCAUAUUUUCAUCCAAAGUUUAUUAAGCAAAUUUACAUCAUUUCUUACCAAAUUACUUACCUUCCAAAACAUAUUAUUUGGUGCUAAAAUGUAUUUAACAUACUAACAUAUUUAACUUAUAUGCCUUACAUAUCCAGACACCAAUUCAUGAUCAAUUCUUCACAUUCCAAAACACAUAUAUGAAAUGCACAUUAGGUUACCUUUUUACCACUCUUUAUUCAAUCAUGAACCAAACUACAUGUCAACCAUAAUAAGCAAAAUAUGCACAUAUCCAAAAUUCCAUAACACAAACAAAACAAAUGGCUAAUCUCAACAAAACACAUAUAAGCCAACAUUGGCCAAACUAAUCUAUACAUGCCAUUAUAACCGAAAUUAAACAACCGAAUGUACCAAAAGAGCCAAUGGAUAGUGUGAUAUAGCUCCGACAAGCUUUCAACCAGAACGAGCUUUCGAAUCACUAAAAACACAGAAAAUAACACAGAGUAAGCAUUCAAGCUUAGUAAGUUCAUAUAGCAUAUAAUUUAACUUACCAUUUAGUCACAUUUAAGGUAAGCAUACAAAACAUAUCCAAACUCAAUUAGGAUAAAAGCCUCAACACAUAUCCUCAUCAACCAUGUUAGUCAUGUAAUUCAUAUAAAUAUCAAGAAACAUGUAUGAGCUCAACAAUAAUCAAACUUGCAUGUACAUAUAAUUUCCACAUCAUGUAUUUACAUAUCAUGUACAAAUCAUUUUCAUAUAUCUCAUGUAAAUACAUGUAGUAGUUUGUAUUGAACUCAUGUAAUAUCAUAACAGAACAGUGCCCGUUGAACCAUUUAGAUUAUUGUUGGAUACGCGGAUAGUACACAUGAGGUGUACUGAACUGUAAUUCAUCAAUUCAUGUACAUGUAUGCUCAUAUGAGCUAUAAACAGUAAGCUCCUCUGAGAUGAAUAACAAUAAGCUUGUACGAGCUGAAUAUCGGUAAGCUCAUAUGAGCUGAGUAUCGGUAAGCUCAUAAGAGCUGAAAUCGAUAACCCUAAUGACAUGUUUACCAAGCCAUGACAUUCCACUAACACAUUUAACCUUUAAAAUUAUUUCAAUUUACAAGUUUAAGAAAGAACAUAAAAGAUGAUACUUGGCUUUAUUUUACUAAAUUUUGUUAUUUACUUAAUUACUUAUUUAACCUUUAAAAUCAUUUCAAUUUACAAGUUUACUAAGCCAUGACAUUCCACUAACACAUUUAAGGGUUAUUUACCAUAUAAGGACCUCUACUUUAAAUUUUUAUAGCUAUUUAAUACCUUUAGCUAUUAGAACUUUACUUUUACACUUUACGCGAUUUAGUCAUUUUUAUCAAAUUGAACAUGUAAACGGUAAAAUUUCUUAACGAAAUUUUCAUAUGGUAAUAUUAUCAUGUUUUCGACCAUAAAAUAAUAAUAAAAUAAAAUUUUUUACUUCAUAUUUGUGGUCCCAAAACUACUAUUCUGAUUUCACUGAAAAUGGGUUGUUACACCUUUCUUGCUUGAUUGCUUCCGUAAGUUUGCUAUCGUGCUUAAUUGGGCAUUCUGUGUGGUUUCUUACAUUGAUUGCAAGGAUAUUGCGUAAGUUAUGUUGUUGUUUUUUACCUAUUUUUUCUAGACUUCGUCUGUUUCGUCGAGGUUAGAUAUUACUGUUAAUGGUUGUAAAAUCUCGUUAAUAGUUCCAAUGGAUCUUCUUUUAGGAAAAGGUUUCAAAAGUAACAUUUCCCUGUGAGAUUAGGUCCGAAUUGUUGUUGCUUGCUUGUCAGUAAUUGAAAAUUUCUAUUUUGGAUAGCUGCGUCGAAGUUUUCGACGAACGUUAGUUUUGAGUGCUAAUUUUGGCAUUUUGAGUUGAUUUAGUCAUUUAAUUCGUCAAUUAAUUGUCGUUUUAGGUUUCAGAUUCUUGUGUGUUGCUUCUACAUCGAAACUACAUCAAGUGUGUAACGAAAACUCAUUUUUCUAUGAUUUACGAAUGCUAGAAAACAUGGCUGUUAAUCACACGACCGUGUGUUAGGCCAUGUAACUUACUGUUUAUGUAUUAAAGUCACCGAGCCAAGGACGUGGGCGUGUGUCCUAGUCGUGUAACUUACUAUUUGUGGAUUGGAGUCACACAGGCUAGGGACACGUUUGUGUGUCCAGACUGUGUGAAGGAAAUUUUAUGAAUUGAGUCACACAAGCGUGUGCUUGACUAUGUCAUAGACCGUGUAACUCACUUUUUUGAGCCACACGAUCGUGUGCCAGGCCGUGUGAUAGAUCGUGUGCUACACGGGCCAGCCUUCCGGGACAUGUGAAUCCACACAAGUGUGUGGGUCAAAAUUUCAAAUUUUUUAUUAGGGCCGUAAACAUCAUUCCAGUCAAACGUAGGCCUACUGUAGGGUCUGGAUGAUCUGAUUUGGGUUAUAAAACCCAUUGACUAGUUAUCUGUUUCUGUAUAAACUGUUAUUUUAUAUACAUCAUAGAAUUGUAAACUAGAGAGUAGUUGUAUUCUGUAUUAAUUGAGUAUAACCUGAAAUUUGUAACAUCGUAUGCUUAUAUCUGUAUCUGUAACAUUGCAUCUGCAUUGGGGUUGGGAUUGAAUAAGGAGGAAGUUAUGGCAGUUAAAUAAUCUGCUAAGACUGGUGGCUAAGACACGUAAAUGUAUCUAAUUUUGGUGACUUUCGCAUUCUGUCCUAGCAAUUAGUCUGCAACCUUUUGAACGUGACAUAUGGUCACUAUGUGGUGUGUAGGGACGAUACCCUUUUUGGUGUGUAGGGUUGGAUGCAGAUGGUGUGUAAUUGACAUAUUCUACUCUAUUUCCGUAUAUAAUUCUGAGAACUGUUCUAACUUUAAGAAAUUGAAGAUCUAUUUUGUUGUUUCACUUAAUAAUAAUAUAAGUUAUACGCUAUGUAUAACACCCUUUACCCGAGACCGUGGUCGGAGUCGAGCAUGAGGUGUUACUUGACUUAACUUAAAAGUUCAGGGCAUAAAAAUUUACUUUCAAAAUUAAUUUCACCAUUCACAAUAAAGUUGUCCACCUGAGCAGCAGUCACUAAAUUAAUUAUAACUCAAGCUAAGAAACUCGAAAUUUAGAUUCGUAAAUUUUCCCUGAAACUAGACUCAUAUAUCUAUUCACAAAAAUUUUUCAGAAUUUUUUAUUUGACCAAUUAGUACAGUUUAUUAGUUGAAGUCUCCCCAGUUUCACUAAUCGACUAUCCUGACCUCUCGUCACUAAAAUUCAAUUAUCUCAUUAUACAGACUUGACAUGCUGAUUCCACUUAUUUAUACUUAAAAUAUACUCAUUAAGGAAUUUAAAAAUAUAAUUUAUAACUCAUAAUUCUAUUUGUACAAUUUUUAAUGAAUUUCUAAAGUCAGAACAGGGGACUUCAGAAUCAUUCUGACUCUGUCUCACUAAAAUUAAAAUAUCUAAAAGUAUAUAACUCUUUUGCUUACUCUAUUGCUUUCAUGUGAAAGUAGACUCAUUCAGAUUUAAUUUCAUCUCUCGCUAAACAUAUAAUUCUAUUUCUACAAUUUUUGGUAAUUUUUCAAAGUUACAUCAAUGCUGCUGCCCAAAAAUAGUUCCAUUGAAAUUUUUAAAAAAAAAUUCAAUAUAACCCCUUUAUAAUUAUCUAACCUUCCCUGCAAAUUUCAAAUCACAACCAAUUUCAGUAUUUCAACUACUUCACUUAAAUACUAAUGAAGUUCAACUAAUCAACCAUUUCAAACUAAAAACAUGUAUAGUUCAAUGUUUAACACAACCAUCACAUUCAAAUUUAUUCAUUCUAUUACUUUUUACUUCAAUUCCCUAUACAUGUCAUAUAAAUCCAAAAAGUUGUUUAACAAAAUCUACAGGAGUAAAUCUGGAUAGUGUGAUUCUUGGUGUAGAUCUGAUCCUCCGAAUGUAUAAAUACGUCAAUCUACAAGAAUCAAUAAACACACAAUUAAGCGUAUAGAAAGCUUAGUAAGUUCAUAGGCACCAAACAUAAAUCUUACCAAACAUUUAUACACUUAUACAUUAUACACCAUUACUAAGUUUACCUGUCAACCACAAUCUUUGGUGAGUUCCUUGGUAUAAACUCACUACUACUUAUUCUUUUACCAUAAUUCCUUUGGGCCCAUUUGUCACUUACCAUCCUUGAUCAAAAUUAAGGAACGGUUACGGAAAAUUGAGUACUUCACUUUCACUUUGCCAUAGUAUAACUAUGGUCUUACGUAUGAUCAAACAUCACUUGUCCUUGAUAAGAUAAGUGUAGCUAGGCAACCACUUAUCACUUUGUCACUUGAUCAGAUAAGUGCAGCUAAAGCUACCAUUUAUCACUUUAUCACCACUUAUCACUUGUUCUUGAUUAGAUAAGUGUAGCUAAAGUUACCACUUAUCACUUUGUCACCACUUAUCACUUGUUCCUAAUCAGAUAAGUGUAGCUAAAACUACCACUUAUCACUUUGUCACUUGAUCAGAUAAGUGUAGCUAAGCUAUCACUUAUCACUUUGUCACUUGAUCAGAAGUACUCAAAUCCGGUGUUCUGCUCAAUUUGAUCAUUUAUUCAGUUUUCACAUUUUUAUUUUAUUCUCAUUUCAUCAAUAAAUAUAUAUAUUUCAUCAUACAUUAUAUAAUUCAUGAAAUUAACAUUUAAUCAUUAAAUUUUAGCCAUAUGAACUUACCUGGGUUGAUUUGCUGAAUUUGUAAAAGUUUAGGGACUAAUCAGCUACUUUUUUUUUCCUCGACUUGUUUCGGGUUCUCAAUAUGAUUCAAAUAUAUGAAAAACCAACUUGGAGGGACUCUUCAAUGGUGUUUUUUGCUAAAAAAUAUGAGGAAUUGCCUAGAAACACUUUUAGUUAAGAUUUUUAUUUGUUAUUUUUUACAAAAUUUCCAAUUUUGCCCUUAUUACAUCACUUUUUCAAAUUUUUCUUCUCUUAUGUCGUCUCAACUAUUCCAUAUUGGCAUAUUUAUGCCUUAAGUCCCUCCUUAUUUACCACUUAAGCUAUUUAAUCACUUUUAACAAAUUUUACAUUAUUUUCAGUUUAAUCCUUUUUAAUUAAUUAACCACCCAAACGUUAGAAUUUUCUAACGAAAAUUUAAUACCAACUCAAUGACACUCCAUAAAUGUUUCUAAAAAUAUUUAUGGCUCGAUUUAUGAGGUUGAGGUUUCAAUACCUCAUUUUCGAUUCUAAUUAUUUUAAUAUUUAUUCUUAGUACAUUAUUCACUAUUUCAAAAAUUUUCCUAACUUCGCAUUUAACUUAUACUCACUAAAUUAAUAAUAUUUUCUACUCAUUUGUCAAAUUUAAUGAUCUCGAAUUACCAUUCCGACACCACUGAAAAUUCAGGCCAUUACAACUCUCCCCCCAUUUUGGAAAUUUCAUCACCGAAAUUUCGUACCUGAAAAUAAAUUCGGAUACUGAAAUCUCAGCAAUUCCUCUGUUUCCCAGGUUGCCUCCUCAGAUCCAUGUCGAUUCCAUAACACCUUAACUAGUGGUACAUGUUUAUUCCUCAACUCUUUAACCUUCUGAGCUAAAAUUUUCACCGGUUCCUCUGAAUAAGUCAUGUCAGGUUGAAGCUCUAUUUCCGUAUGAGGAAUUACAUGUGAUGGAUCUGAUCUGUACCGUCUCAACAUAGACACAUGAAACACAUUAUGAAUCUUUUCAAGUUCCGGGGGCAAAGCUAAUCUAUAGGUUACCGGACCGAUUCUUUCAAUGAUUUCAUACGGCCCGAUAAAUCGUGGGCUGAGUUUCCCCUUUUUGCUGAACCGCAAAACUUUCUUCCACGGUGACACUUUCAAAAAUACACGAUCACCCACAUUAAACUCUAUAUCCCUUCUCUUCAAAUUUGCAUAUGAUUUUUGCCGAUCGGAGGUAGCUUUUAAACAAUCUCGAAUAAUACGAACUUUUUCUUCAGUUUCCUGAGUCAAUUCCACUCCCACUAGUUUCGAUUCACUUAAUUCAGACCAAUAUAAUGGAGUUCUACACUUUCUUCCAUACAAAGCUUCAAACGGUGCCAUUUUAAUGCUAGUUUGAUAACUAUUAUUAUAAGCAAAUUCGGCUAAAGGUAAAUACCUUUCCCAGCUACCGCCGAACUCAAGUAUACAACACCUUAACAUAUCUUCUAAAAUCUGAAUCACUCGCUCUGACUGCCCAUCUGUCUAGGGAUGAAAAGCUGUGUUGAAAUUUAAUUUGGUGCCUAAAGCUUCCUGUAAUUUACUCUAAAAUCUCGAGGUAAAUCUCGGAUCUUGAUCUGAAAUAAUAGAUGUCGGUACCCCAUGUAACCUCACUAUCUCAGACACAUAUAACUCCGCUAACUUUUCAAGCUGAUAAUCUGCUCUGACUGGAAUAAAAUGUGCUGACUUAGUUAACCGAUCAACAAUCACCCAUAUUGAAUGUUUCUUCUUCAGAGUUACUAGUAAUCCAGAUACAAAAUCCAUCGUAACAUGUUCCCAUUUCCAAUCUGGAAUCAUAAUGGGCUGUAACAACCCUGUCGGCACUUGAUGCUCAGCUUUCACCUGUUGACAGAUCAAACAUCUUGCUACAUACUCAAAGAUUUCCCGUUUCAUUCCGGGCCACCAAUACAUUUUCUUCAAAUCACAAUACAUUUUUGUACUACCCGGGUAAAUAGAACACAUACUACUGUGAGCCUCUGAUAAAAUAUCAUUUUUCAAGUUUAAAUUAUUCGGAAUACAUAUUCUAUUACGAUAAUAUAACAUACCAUUUUCAUCAAUGGAGUAUUCUGAGCUUAACUUAUCUUGAACCAUCUGUCGCUUUAUCAUCAAUUUUGGGUCAUCAUCCUAUAACUCCCGAAUCCGUUGAAAGAACACGGGUUUAGCCUUUAAUUCUGCUAGUACAGAACCAUCCUCAUUAAUAGAUAAAUGAGCAUUCAAUGCCCGUAGUGCAAAUAAUGAUGAUUUCCGACUAAGCGCAUCUGCUGCGGCAUUUGCUUUCCCUGGGUGAUAGUCAAUGACAAGAUCAUAAUCUUUCAGCAACCCCAACCAUCGUCUCUGUGUCAAAUUUAACUCUUUCUGAGUCAUUAAAUACUUCAAGCUUUUAUGAUCAGUAUACACGUAACAUUUCUCACCAUAUAAGUACUCUCCAUAUCUUCAAAGCAAACACGAUCGCUGCCAAUUCCAAAUCAUGUGUAGGAUAAUUCUUGUCGUGCGGUUUCAGUUGCCAAGAAGCAUAUGCCACCACUUUGCCUGACUGAAUAAGUACACAGCCCAACCCAUUUACAGAUGCAUCACUAUAUACUACAAACGGUACACCCGAUUCUGGUUGAGUCAACACUGGAGCCUCUGUCAACAUCUUUUUCAACUGAUCGAAACUCCGCUGACAUUCAUCUAACCAUAUAAAUUCAACAUUCUUUUGUAGCAAUCGAGUUAACGGUAAGGUAAUCAUUGAGAAAUCUUUGACAAAUCGACGAUAAUAACCUGCCAAUCGUAGAAAACUCUGCACUUCAGUCACAUUCUUCGGAACUUUCCAAUUUAUCACUGCCGCUACCUUACUUGGAUCCACUCUUAUUCCAUCAGCUGAUACAAUAUGACCCAAAAAUGCAACUUCAUGGAGCCAAAAUUCACAUUUGCUGAAUUUGGCAUACAAUUGUUUCUCCCACAAAGUCUGUAAUACAAUCAUUAGAUGUUGUGCAUGUUCGGACUCUGUCUUUGAAUAAAUCAAUAUAUCGUCAAUGAACACAACCACAAAUCUAUCCAAAUAUGACUGAAAAAUUCUAUUCAUCAAAUCCAUAAAAGCAGCAGGGGCAUUGGUUAAACCAAAUGGCAUCACCAAAAAUUCAAAAUGACCAUAUCGAGUUCGAAAGGCAGUUUUCGGCACUUCACACUCUUUAACUUUCAACUGAUAAUACUCGGAUCGAAGAUCUAUCAUGGAAAAUACUGUAGCACCUUUCAACUGAUCAAACAAAUCAUCAAUAUGAGGCAAAGGAUUUUUAUUCUUUACUGUUACCUUAUUCAACUGUCUGUAAUCUAUACACAGUCUUAAAAAACCGUCCUUCAUUUUCACAAACAAGACAGGUGUACCCCAGGGCGACAUACUCGGUCUGAUGAACCCUUUAUCUAAUAACUCCUGCAGCUGCGCCUUCCGUUCUUUUAACUCGACUGGAGCCAUUCUGUAUGGUGUCAUUGAGAUAGGAGUUGUUCCGGGGAUCACAUCAAUUACAAAUUCAACUUCUCUAUCAGGUGGUAGACCGGGUAACUCUUCAGGGAACAUAUCAGGGAAUUCAUUCACCAUUGGCACUUGUUCGAGCUUCAAACCAGAACCCUGAGUAUCCAGGAUAUAGGCCAAGAAUGCUUCGUUGCCUUUGUGUAAUAACCUCUGAGCAGAGAGAGCUAAAAUAAUUCUGACUGUAUCACCCAGAUUUUCAGACCCAACUGAGAUUAUAUCUCCCGUUUGACAUUUCAAACUGAUUUGUUUAUCACGAUAAUUCACUACCGCAUCAUGUCUCAUUAACCAGUCCAUCCCCAGAAUAAUGUCAAAUUCCCGAAAAGGUAACAACAUCAAAUCAGCGAGGAAUUCAUAGCCUUUCACUUUCAGUGGACAAUUACGACAUAUCAAAUUAACCAUCACACUUUGACCUAAUGGGUUUGUGACUUGUAUAUCAAAUUCAGUGGACUCAACAGAUAAUUUCUUUUUAGAUGCUAACAUAGUGCAAAUAUAUGAAUGAGUAGAUCCAGGGUCUAUCAAUGCAUAAACAAUAACAUCAUAAAGAUAGAAAGUACCAGCAAUUACAUCAGGAGCCGUAGCCUCUUUCCUUGCUCGAAUGGCGUAGGUACGUGCUGGUGCUCUAUUCUCUGAUCGACCAACUGAUUCCCUCGUACCCGAACGGGUAGUCCCUGUAGCACUGCUCUGGCCCGAACGUCUACUUUUUUGGGGAAUGGUUCUCUGUAUUUCUUUCUGUUCCACUUCAUCUUUUUACAGUCGGGAACAAUCUCGAAUAAGAUGAUUAGUACCCUCACAUUUUUAACAAGCCCCUAUCUUGGUCCUGCAUUCUCUGAAAUGAUAUCUUCCACAAUAUUGACACUUAGGCCGGGGAGCAUUCUGAACACUGCUCACACUUGCUGGAGGUCUAUCGAAUACCCUGAAAUCAGAUUGUCUUGGUCUAUCUCUACCCGAUCUUCUCGACAGUGAUGUAGUUCGACUAAUUUCUUCUCUAGAUUUGUUCACUGGUAAAUCUAAAAAUGACUUAGAAGCACCUCUUUUGAAUGGCUCUUUACUUUUUCGAUCCCGCUACAUUUUUCUGUUGUAUACUUCUUCGAGCUUUUGAGCACGGUCUGACAGAACAGGGAACUCUCGUAUUUCAUUACCCCCAAUCAUCAUUCUAAUUUCAUCAUUUAACCCUUCUUCAAACCUGAUACACAUUUCUUCUUUAAUAAGUACAAUGUCUCGGGCAUAUUUGCUGAGGUAGACAAAUUCUCUUUCGUAUUCAGCCACUGAUUUAUCUCCCUGGCGUAGGUCGAGAAAUUCCCUUUUAUUUUUAUCCAAAUACCGUCUGCCCACAUAUUUCUUCUUAAAUUCAUUUUGGAAAAAUUCCCAAUAAAUUUUCUCUGUCGGAACCACAUCCUCAAUCGUCUCCCACCAACUAUAAGCUUCUUCUUUCAAUAGAGACACAACACAACUCAAAUAAUCAUCUAGUGAGCAAACCAUUUCUUUAAAAAUUCUUAUUAAACUCUGUAACCAAUAUUCAGCUUUGACGGGAUCUUUAUCAGUCCUUCCCCGAAAUUCUUCGGCUCCAAGUUUUUUAAGCCUUUCCAAUGGAGAACGCUUUCUGGAUUCAGUCGUUGUAAAAGGUGGAGGAGCAACCGGGUGUGCCACCGAUGGAGCAGUAGGGGGAGGAGGUGGUUCAGCCUGAUUUCUUUCUUGCCUCAUUUCAGUAUAUCAUUGAUUCAUAAUCCCAUAAAUCAUAUUCUUUAACUCUUGCUCUCGCAUUUGGGAGAUCGGAACAUCACUGCUUGUUCUUUGUUUAGAAUUAUGUAUUCUACUAUUAACUUCUUCUUUCUCAGUACGUUUAGGUAUAUCUGACAUCUCCAUAACCGGAGAAUAUCUACUAUUAACUUCUUCUUACUGGAUUCAGUCGUUGUAAGAGGUGGAGAAGCAACCGGGGGUACCACCGAUGGAGCAGUAGGCAGAGGAGGUGGUUCAGCCUGAUUUCUUUCUUGCCUCAUUUCAGUAUACCACUGAUUCAUAAUCCCAUAAAUCAUAUUCUUUAACUCUUGCUCCCGUAUUUGGGAGAUCAGAACACCACUGCUUGUUCUUUGUUCAGAAUUAUGUAUUCUACUAUUAACUUCUUCUUGCUCAGUACGUUCAGGUAUAUCUGACAUCUCUAUAACCGGAGAAUAUCUAUAAAAAUAACAAAGAUUAGAUCGCAUCAUACGCAUUACACUAUCACAGAUUUAUAUGGCAUGUAUUUCUAAACACUUUACACUUUACACAUAUUCCGAGAACCGGCUAAACCUGGAUCUGAUACCAAUAAAAUGUAACACCCUUUACCUGAGACCGUUUCCAGAGUCGAGCAUGAGGCGUUACUUGACUUAACUUAAAAGUUCAGGGCAUAAAAAAUUACUUUCAAAAUUAAUUUCACCAUUCACAAUAAAGCUGUCCACCCACGCAGCAAUCUCUAAAUUAAUUAUAACUCAAGAUGCGAAACUCGAAAUUUAGAUCUGUAUAUUUUACCUAAAACUAGACUCAUAUAUCUAUUCACUACAAAAUUUUCAGACUUUUUGGUUUGGCAAAUUAGUACAGUUUAUUAAUUGAAGUCUCCCCUGUUUCACUAAUAGACUAUCCUGACCUCUCGUCACUAAAAUUCAAUUAUCUCAUUAUACAAACUUGACUUGGUGCUUUCAAUUAUUUUUACUUAAAAUAGACUCAUUAAGGAAUUUAAACAUAUAAUUUAUAACUCAUAAUUCAUUUUGUACAAUUUUUAAUGAAUUUCUAAAGUCAAAAUAGGGGACUUCAAAAUCAUUCUGACUCUGUCUCACUAAAAUUCAAAUAUCUAAAAGUAUAUAACUCUUUUGCUUACUCUAUUGCUUUAAUGUGAAAGUAGGCUCAUUCAGCUUUAAUUUCAUCUCUCACUCAACUUAUAAUUCUAAGUCCACAUUUUUGGUGAUUUUUCAAAGUUACAUCAAUACUGCUGUCCAAAAACUGUUCCAUUGAAAUUUUUUUAAAAAAUUUCAAUAUAACCCUUUUAUAAUUAUCUAACCUUCCCUGCAAAUUUUAAAUCACAACCAAUUUCAGUAUUUCAACCACUUCACUUAAAUACUAAUGAAGUUCAACCAAUCAACCAUUUCAAACUAAAAACAUGCAUAGUUCAAUGUCUAACACAACCAUCACAUUCAAAUUUACUUUGCAUAUUUAGAUAUUCAUUCUUUUACUUUUUACUUCAAUUCCCUAUACAUGUCAUAUAAAUCCAAAAAGUUGUUUAACAAAAUCUACCGGAGUAAAUCUUGAUAGUGUGAUUCUUGGUGUAGAUCCGAUCCUCUGAAUGUAUAAAUACGUCAAUCUACAAGAAUCAAUAAACGCACAAGUAGGCUUAAUAAACACACAAGUAAGCUUAUAGAAAGCUUAGUAAGUUCAUAGGCACCAAACAUAAAACUUACCAAACAUUUAUACACUUAUACAUUAUACACCAUUACUAAGUUUACCUGUCAACCACAUUCUUUGGUGAGUUCCUUGGUAUAAACUCACUAAUACUUAUUCUUUUACCAUAAUUCCUUUGGGCCCAUUUGUCACUUACCAUCCUUGAUCAAAAUUAAGGAACGGUUACGGAAAAUUGAGUACUUCACUUUCACUUUGCCAUAGUAUAAAUAUGGUCUUACGUAUGAUCACUUAUCACUUGUCCUUGAUCAGGUUAGUGUAGCUAGGCUACCACUUAUCACUUGUUCCUGAUCAGAUAAGUGUAGCUAAGCUAUCACUUGUCACUUUGUCACUUGAUCAAAAGUACUCAAAUCCGGUGUUCCGCUCAAUUUGAUCACUUAUUCAGUUUGCGCAUUUUUAUUUUAUUCUCAUUUCAUCAAUAAAUAUAUAUAUAUAUUUCACCAUACAUUAUAUAAUUCAUGAAAUUAACAUUUAAUCAUUAAAUUUCAUCCAUAUGAACUUACCUAGGUCGAUUUUCUGAAUUUGUAAAAGUUCAAGGACUAAUCAGCUACUUUUUCUUUUCCUCGACUUGUUUCGGGUUCUCGAUAUGAUUCAAAUAUAUGAAAAACUAGCUUGGAGGGACUCUUCAAUGGCGUUUUUUGCUGAGAAAUAUGAUGAAUUGCCUAGAAACUCUUUUAGUUAAGAUUUUUAUUUGUUAACUUUUACAAAAUUUCUAAUUUUGCCCUUAUUACAUCACUUUUUCAGAUUUUUCUUCUCUUAUGCCGUCUCAACUAUUCCAUAUUAGCAUAUUUAUGCCUUAAGUCCCUCCUUAUUUACCACUUAAGCUGUUUAAUCACUUUUAACAAAUUUUACAUUAUUUUCAGUUUAGUCAUUUUUAAUUAAUUAACCACCAAAACGUUAGAAUUUUCUAACGAAACUUUAAUACCAACUCAAUGACACUCUAUAAAUGUUUCUAAAAAUAUUUAUGGCUCGAUUGAUGAGUUUGAGGUUUCGAUACCUCAUUUUCGACUCUAAUUAUUUUAAUAUUUAUUCUUAGUACACUAUUCACUAUUUCAAAAAUUUUCCUAACUUCGCAUUUAACUUAUACUCACUAAAUUAAUAAUAUUUUCUACUCAUUUGUCAAAUUUAAUGAUCUCGAAUUACCAUUCCGACACCACUGAAAAUUCAGGCCAUUACAACUCUCCCCCCAUUUUGGAAAUUUCGUCCCCGAAAUUUCGUACCUGAAAAUAAAUUCGAAUACUGAAAUCUCAUCAAUUCCUCUGUUUCCCAGGUUGCCUCCUCAGAUCCAUGUCGAUUCCAUAACACCUUAACUAGUGGUACAUGUUUAUUCCUCAACUCUUUAACAUCCCAAGCUAAAAUUUUCACCGGUUCCUCUGAAUAAGUCAUGUCAGGUUGAAGCUCUAUUUCCGUAUGAGGAAUUACAUGUGAUGGAUCUGAUUUGUACCGUCUCAACAUAGACACAUGAAACACAUUAUGAAUCUUUGCAAGUUCCGGGGGCAAAGCUAAUCUAUAGGUUACCAGACCGAUUCUUUCAAUGAUUUCAUACGGCCCGAUAAAUCGUGGGCUGAGUUUUCCCUUUUUGCUGAACCGCAAAACUUUCUUCCACGGUGACAGUUUCAAAAAUACACGAUCACCCACAUUAAACUCUCUAUCCCUUCUCUUCAAAUCUGCAUAUGAUUUUUGCUGAUCGGAGGCAGCUUUUAAGCAAUCUCGAAUAAUACGAACUUUUUCUUCAGUUUCCUGAGUCAAUUCCACUUCCACCAGUUUCAAUUCACUUAAUUUAGACCAAUAUAAUGAAGUUCUACACUUUCUUCCAUACAAAGCUUCAAACGGUGCCAUUUUAAUGCUAGUUUGAUAACUAUUAUUAUAAGCAAAUUCGGCUAAAGGUAAAUACCUUUCCCAGCUACCGCCGAACUCAAGUAUACAACACCUUAACAUAUCUUCUAAAAUCUGAAUCACUCGCUCUGACUGCCCAUCUGUCUGGGGAUGAAAAGCUGUGUUGAAAUUUAAUUUGGUGCCUAAAGCUUCCUGUAAUUUACUCUAAAAUCUCGAGGUAAAUCUCGGAUCUCGAUCUGAAAUAAUAGAUGUCGGUACCCCAUGUAACCUCACUAUCUCAGACACAUAUAACUCCGCUAACUUUUCAAGCUGAUAAUCUGCUCUGACUGGAAUAAAAUGUGCUGAUUUAGUUAACCGAUCAACAAUCACCCAUAUCGAAUCUUUCUUCUUCGAAGUUACUGGUAAUCCGGAUACAAAAUCCAUCGCAACAUGUUCCUAUUUCCACUCUGGAAUCAUAAUGGGCUGUAACAACCCUGUCGGCACUUGAUGCUCAGCUUUCACCUGUUGGCAGAUCAAACAUCUUGCUACAUACUCACAGAUUUCCCAUUUAAUUCCGGGCCACCAAUACAUUUUCUUCAAAUCACAAUACAUUUUUGUACUAACCCGGUGAAUAGAACACAUACUACUGUGAGCCUCUGAUAAAAUAUCAUUUUUCAAGUUUAAAUUAUUCGGAAUACAUAUUCUAUUACGAUAAUAUAACAUACCAUUUUCAUCAAUGGAGUAUUCUGAGCUUAACUUAUCUUGAACCAUCUGUCGUUUUAUCAUCAAUUUUGGGUCAUCAUCCUGUAACUCUUGAAUCCAUUGAAAGAACACGGGUUUAGCCUUUAAUUCUGCUAGUACAGAACCAUCCUCAUUAAUAGAUAAAUGAGCAUUCAAUGCCCGUAGUGCAAAUAAUGAUGAUUUCUGACUAAGUGCAUCUGCUGCGGCAUUUGCUUUCCCUGGGUGAUAGUCAAUGACAAGAUAAUAAUCUUUCUGCAACUCUAACCAUCGUCUCUAUCUCAAAUUUAACUCUUUCUGAGUCAUUAAAUACUUUAAGCUUUUAUGAUCAGUAUACACGUAACAUUUCUCACCAUAUAAGUAGUGUCUCCUUAUCUUCAAAGCAAACACGAUCGCUGCCAAUUCAAAAUCAUGUGUAGGAUAAUUCUUGUCGUGCGGUUUCAGUUGCCGAGAAGCAUAUGCCACCACUUUGCCUGACUGAAUAAGUACACAGCCCAACCCAUUUACAGAUGCAUCACUAUAUACUACAAAUGGUACACCCGAUUCUGGUUGAGUCAACAUUGGAGCCUCUGUCAACAUCUUUUUCAACUGAUCAAAACUCCGCUGACAUUUAUCUGACCAUAUAAAUUCAACAUUCUUUUGUAGAAAUCGAGUCAACUGUAAGGUAAUCAUUGAGAAAUCUUUGAUAAAUCGACAAUAAUAACAUGCCAAUCGUAGAAAACUCCACACUUCAAUAACAUUCUUCGGAACUUUCCAAUUUACCAUUGCCGCUACCUUACUUGGAUCGACUCUUAUUCCAUCAGCUGAUACAAUAUGACCCAAAAAUGCAACUUCAUGGAGCCAAAAUUCUCAUUUGCUAAAUUUGGCAUACAAUUGUUUCUCUCACAAAGUCUGUAAUACAAUCCUUAGAUGUUGUGCAUGUUCGGACUCUGUCUUUGAAUAAAUCAAUAUAUCGUCAAUGAACAACCACAAAUCUAUCCAAUUAUGACUGAAAAAUUCUAUUCAUCAAAUCCAUAAAAGCAGCAAGGGCAUUGGUUAAACCAAAUGGCAUCACCAAAAAUUCAUAAUGACCAUAUCGAGUUUGGAAGGCAGUUUUCGGCACAUCACACUCUUUAACUUUCAACUGAUAAUACCCAGAUUGAAGAUCUAUCUUGGAAAAUAUUGCAGCACCUUUCAACUGAUCAAAUAAAUCAUCAAUAUGAGGCAAAGGAUAUUUAUUCUUUACUGUUACCUUAUUCAACUGCCUGUAAUCUAUACACAGUCUUAGAGAACCGUCCUUUUUUUUCACAAACAAGACAGGUGCACCCCAGGGCGACAUACUCAGUCUGAUGAACCAUUUCUCUAAUAACUCCUGUAACUGCGCCUUCAACUCUUUUAACUCGGCUGGAGCCAUUCUGUACGGUGUCAUUGAGAUAGGAGUUGUUCCGGCGAUCACAUCAAUUACAAAUUCAACUUCUUUAUCAGGUGGUAGACCGGGUAACUCUUCAGGGAACACAUUAGGGAAUUCAUUCACUACUGGCACUUGUUUGAGCUUCAAACCAGAACCCUGAGUAUCCAUGAUAUAGGCCAAGAAUGCUUCGUUGCCUUUGCGUAAUAACCUCUGAGCAGGGAGAGCUGAAAUAAUUCUGACUGUAUCACCCAUAUUUUCAGACCCAACUGAGAUUAUAUCUCCCGUUUGACAUUUCAAAUUGAUCUGUUUAUCACGACAAUUCACUACCGCAUCAUGUCUCACUAACCAGACCAUCCCAAGAAUAAUGUCAAAUUCUCGAAAAGGUAACAACAUCAAAUCAGCGGGGAAUUCAUAGCCUUUCACUUUUAAUGGACAAUUACGACAUAUCAAAUUAACCAUCACACUUUGACCUAAUGGGUUUGUGACUUGUAUAUCAAAUUCAAUGGACUUAACAAAUAAUUUCUUUUCAGAUGCUAACAUAGUGCAAAUAUAUGAAUGAGUAGAUCUAGGGUCUAUCAAUGCAUAAACAAUAACAUCAUAAAGAUAGAAAGUACCAACAAUUACAUCAGGAGCCGUAGCCUCUUCCCUUGCUCGAAUGGCGUAGGUACGUGCUGGUGCUCUAUUCUUUGAUCGACCAACUGAUUCCCUCGUACCCGAACGGGUAGUCCCUGUAGCACUGCUCUGGCCCGAAUGUCUACUUCUUUGGGGAAUGGUUCUCUGUAUCUCUUUCUGUUCCACUUCAUCUUUUUACAGUCGGGGACAAUCUCGAAUAAGAUGAUUAGUAGCCCUACAUUUUUAACAAGCCCCCAUCUUGGUCCUGCAUUCUCCGAAAUGAUAUCUUCCACAAUAUUGACACUUAGGCCGGGGAGCAUUCUGAACACCGCUCACACUUGCUGCAGGUCUAUCGAAUACCCUGAAAUCAGAUUGUCUUGGUCUAUCUCUACCCGAUCUUCCCAACAUUAAUGUAGUUCGACUAAUUUCUUCUCUAGAUUUCUUCACUGGCAAAUCUAAAAAUGACUUAGAAGCACCUCUUUUGAAUGGCUCUUUACUUUUUCGAUCCCGCUGCAUUUUUCUGUUGUAUACUUCUUCGAGCUUUUGAGCACGGUCUGACAGAACAACGAACUCUCGUAUUUCAUUACCCCCAAUCAUCAUUCUAAUUUCAUCAUUUAACCCUUCUUCAAACCUGAUACACAUUUCUUCUUUAGUAGGUACAAUGUCUCGGGCAUAUUUGCUGAGGUAAACAAAUUCUCUUUCGUAUUCAGCCACUGAUUUAUUUCCCUGGCGUAGGUCGAGAAAUUCCCUUUUAUUUUUAUCCAAAUACCGUCUGCCCACAUAUUUCUUCUUAAAUUCAUUUUGGAAAAAUUCCCAAUAAAUUUUCUCUGCUGGAACCACAGCCUCAAUCGUCUCCCACCAACUAUAAGCUUCUUCUUUCAAUAGGGACACAGCACAUCUCAAAUAAUCAUCUGGUGAGCAAACCAUUUCUUUAAAAAUUCUUAUCAAACUUUGUAACCAAUAUUCAGCUUUGACGGGAUCUUCAUUAGUCCUUCCUGAAAUUCUUCGGCUCCAAGUUUUUUAAGCUUUUCCAAUAGAGAACGCUUACUAGAUUCAGUCGUUGUAGGAGGUGGAGGAGUAACCGGGGGUACCAUCGAUGGAGCAGUAGGGGGAGGAGGUGGUUCAGCAUGAUUUCUUUCUUGCCUCAUUUCAAUAUACCACUGAUUCAUAAUCUCAUAAAUCAUAUUCUUUAAUUCUUGCUCUCGCAUUUGGGAGAUCGGAACAUCACUGCUUGUUCUUUGUUCAGAAUUAUGUAUUCUACUAUUAACUUAUUCUUACUUAGUUCGUUCAGGUAUAUCUGACAUCUUUAUAACUGGAGAAUAUCUAUAAAAAUAACAAAGAUUAGAUCGGAUCAUACGCAUCACACUAUCACAGAUUUAUAUGGCAUGUAUUUCUAAACACUUUACACUUCACACAUAUUCCGAGAACCGGCUAAACCGGGAUCUGAUACCAAUAAAAUAUAACACCCUUUACCCAAGACCGUUGCCCGAGUCGAGCAUGAGGCGUUACUUGACUUAACUUAAAAGUUCAGGGCAUAAAAAUUUACUUUCAAAAUUAAUUUCACCAUUCACAAUAAAGCUGUCCACCUGCGCAGGAGUCACUAAAUCAAUUAUAACUCAAGCUACGAAACUCAAAAUUUAGAUCCGUAAAUUUUCCCUAAAACUAGACUCAUAUAAAUAUUCACCAUAAAUUUUUAAGAAUUUUUAGUUUAUCCAAUUAGUAUAGUUUAUUAGUUUAAGUCUCCCUUGUUUCACUAAUAGACUACCCUGACCUCUCGUCACUAAAAUUCAAUUAUCUCCUUAUACAGACUUGACAUGGUGCUUCCAAUUAUUUUUACUUAAAAUAUACUCAUUAAGGAAUUUAAAAAUAUAAUUUAUAACUCAUAAUUACUUUUUUACAAUUUUUAUUGAAUUUCUAAAUUCAGAACAGGGGACUUCAAAAUCAUUCUGACCCUGUCUCACUAAAAUUCAAAUAUCUAAAAGUAUAUAACUCUUUUGCUUACUCUAUUGCUUUCAUGUGAAAGUAUACUCAUUCAGAUUUAAUUUCAUAUCUCACUUAACUUAUAAUUCUAUUUCCACUAUUUUUGGUGAUUUUUCACAGUUACAUCAAUGCUGCUGUCCAAAAACUGUUCCAUUGAAAUUUUUAAAAAAAAUUCAAUAUAACCCCUUUAUAAUUAUCUAACCUUCCCUGCAAAUUUCAAAUCACAACCAAUUUCAGUAUUUCACCUACUUCACUUAAAUACUAAUGAAGUUCAACCAAUCAACCAUUUCAAACUAAAAACAUGUAUAGUUCAAUGUCUAACACAACCAUCAUAUUCAAAUUUACUUUGCAUACUUAGUCAUUCAUUCUAUUACUUUUUACUUCAAUUCCCUAUACAUGCCAUAUAAAUCCAAAAAGUUGUUUAACAAAAUCUACCAGAGUAAAUCUAGAUAGUGUGAUUCUUGGUGUAGAUCCGAUCCUCCGAAUGUAUAAAUACGUCAAUCUACAAGAAUCAAUAAACACAUAAUUAAGCUUAUAGAAAGCUUAGUAAGUUCAUAGGCACCAAACAUAAAUCUUACCAAACAUUUAUACACUUAUACAUUAUACACCAUUACUAAGUUUACCUGUCAACCACAAUCUUUGGUGAGUUCCUUGUUAUAAACUCACUACUACUUAUUCUUUUACCAUAAUUCCUUUGGGCCCAUUUGUCACUUACCAUCCUUGAUCAAAAUUAAGGAACGGUUACGGAAAAUUGAGUACUUCACUUUCACUUUGCCAUAGUAUAACUAUGGUCUUACAUAUGAUCACUUAUCACUUGUCCUUGAUAAGAUAAGUGUAGCUAGGCUACCACUUAUCACUUUGUCACUUGAUCAGAUAAUUGUAGCUAAAGCUACCACUUAUCACUUUAUCACCACUUAUCACUUGUUCCUGAUCAGAUAAGUGUAGCUAAAACUACCACUUAUCACUUUGUCACCACUUAUCACUUGUUCCUGAUCAGAUAAGUGUAGCUAAAGCUACCACUUAUCACUUUGUCACUUGAUCAGAUAAGUGUAGCUAAGCUAUCACUUAUCACUUUGUCACUUGAUCAGAAGUACUCAAAUUCGGUGUUCCGCUCAAUUUGAUCAUUUAUUCAGUUUUCACAUUUUUAUUUUAUUCUCAUUUCAUCAAUAAAUAUAUAUAUUUCAGCAUACAUUAUAUAAUUCAUGAAAUUAACAUUUAAUCAUUAAAUUUCAGCCAUAUGAACUUACCUGGGUCGAUUUAUUGAAUUUGUAAAAGUUCAGGGACUAAUCAGCUACUUUUUCUUUUCCUCGACUUGUUUCGGGUUCUCAAUAUGAUUCAAAUAUAUGAAAAACCAGCUUGGAUGGACUCUUCAAUGGCGUUUUUUGCUGAGAAAUAUGAUGAAUUGCCUAGAAACUCUUUUAGUUAAGAUUUUUAUUUGUUAACUUUUACAAAAUUUCCAAUUUUGCCCUUAUUACAUCACUUUUUCAGAUUUUUCUUCUCUUAUGCCGUCUCAACUAUUCCAUAUUAGCAUAUUUAUGCCUUAAGUCCCUCCUUAUUUGCCACUUAAGCUGUUUAAUCACUUUUAACAAAUUUUACAUUAUUUUCAGUUUAGUCCUUUUUAAUUAAUUAACCACCCAAACGUUAGAAUUUUCUAACGAAACUUUAAUAUCAAUUCAAUGACACUCUAUAAAUGUUUCUAAAAAUAUUUAUGGCUCGAUUGAUGAGUUUGAGGUUUCGAUACCUCAUUUUUUAUUCUAAUUAUUUUAAUAUUUAUUCUUAGUAUACUAUUCACUAUUUUAAAAAUUUUCCUAACUUCGCAUUUAACUUAUACUCACUAAAUUAAUAAUAUUUUCUACUCAUUUGUCAGAUUUAGUGAUCUAGAAUUACCAUUCCGACACCACCGAAAAUUCAGGCCAUUACAUUAUGUUUAUUGACUCAUUUUUUCUGUUGACUGAAUUUCAGGUAACUCAUCGACUUAGGCGGGUCGGCAUGGCGAGAGCUCGGUCAUCCUUAUUUAGUAAUUUUCUGUUUAAAUUAAACUUAUGCUAUAGUUGUUUUAUCUUGAAUUACAGAUUGCAAAUUUAUAUUUCUACACUAGUUCAACUAUUUAAACAUUUUCUGACAAUUAAACUUUAAUUAGUUAAAAGUGAGAAUUUCUUAAAUGAUUUGUUGUAGCUUUCCAAGCUUGGUCCUAACAUCUAGGUCGGGUUUGGGGUGUUACAACCCAAAACCCCCAAACUUUCCCCUCAAAACUUUUACUCCCCCACCCUUUCUCUUUCUCGCUCACCCUCCCAAACCCUUUUACUUUUCCCCCAAAACUUUUACUUCCCACUUUUACCCCCAAAUCAAAAAUCAAAAUCCUCCCAAAAAAAUCCUUAAACCUAAAUAGUAAUAAUUUUAUUUAUGGCCACUAUUUAUAUUAUAAAUUAAAUUUCACAUUUUCUAUUAUUUAUAUUAUUAAAUUGUUUAAUCAUUUUGAAUCUUUAUCAAUUUCUGUUAAAACUGUAUCAUUGAUGAUGUCAUACAUUAUUUGUGUUAAAAAUUUCUAUUGGUAUCAAUUUCACAUUUUAUCUUUAAAAUAAAUUUUAUUAAAAAAAUUACUUUUUUACAUUUAAUAUAUUUUUUAAUUUCAAAAUAUAUGGUGACAAGAAUUAGAAGAUAAUUGAAGCAACUAAGCAAGUAAAAAAGCUAACAUGUAUAUAAAAGAUUAAAUAAAUUAUGAAGGGAUGAAAGUUAAUAACACAUUUGAUUACGGUGGACAAAUUUGAUAAUGAUGGGUGACAGUGGCUACAAGGAUCCAAAGUAAUUUUUUCAAUUAACUGGAAACAAAUAUAUUCGAUUCGAUUCGAUAAAAUUUGAAAUCAUUUUAGGAUGAUAAAAUAAGAUUCGUCAACUCGAUUAACUCGAAGUUUUUUCAUUUGAUUCGAUUAGACGCUCACCCCUACAAAGUAUGACCGAUUGGUCUGAUUCUGAAAAAAAUUGGUUUUGAUCAAUGAAAGAACUUUUACGAUGGCGACAGGUCUAACAAACAGGUGAUAUUUUGAAAAGAAAAUUAAUCUCCAUAGUCUCAACCUUAGGAGGGUGAAUUUUGAGCAUUGCAUUUGUUGUCAUUGUUAGACAUUAUAAAGGAAGAAAAAAGAAAGAAAAAAGUUAAAAUGAGGGAAAUUAUUGAAAAAAAGAGAGAAGAGAAUAAUUAAUUUUUUUUAAAAUUUUACAUGUCAAUCUAUUAUUGAUUAGAUUUUUUUAAUGAGUGUAACAUUUUGGUGUUAAAUGGAUAAUAAAAAAAUAUUUUAAGUAUCAUUUAUGAUAAAAAUAUUUAGGUAUCAAUUUGAAAAAAAUAUGUAGCUUAGAUACUAAUUGAUGGGUUAAUUUUUUUAGCUUAAUAAUUUGAUUAAACCGAAAUACCAACUGAAAAAAAGUUUACUCGCCGCUUAUGAAAAAAAAUAAGUAUGAAUUUGUAAGUUAAAUCUCCCUAAAAGAAAAAAUAUAUCACAUUCAAUACGGGGUGAAUGAAGCAAUGAAUGCAAUGGGGUAUUACAACCAGCCACAUGUCAUUCAAUUCAUGUUAUAUCUACCUUGUUGGCCCCACAGGCGGUCUUUUCCAUUAUUUUCGAAGUGAACGACAUGAGUCGGACCUAUAUCGGCCCCAACAAACAACCUCAACCACUUGUUUUGUUAGGUUGUUGACUAAUUUGAAUAUGUCGGCUCAAAGCUUUUUGAAAAUUAAAUUAUUUUUUAUAUUAAUAUCAUAUAGGUAUAAAAAUUUAACGUUUUGUAAAAAAAAUAAAUUUAGUGUUAAAUUUAAAUAAUUAUAAAAAAUUAUACAAAAUACAAAGACAACUUAGAGUCAAUAAAAAAAAUAUGGAAAAUCAAUUCAUACAUGAAAUGGCAUAAAAAUAUUAUGAACACUAUACAAAUAUAUGAAUGUUUUUAUAUCUAUAUAAAAUAAGUUAUUAACGCUUAAAUUUCAACCAAUUAAAUAUUAAUUUAACUAUAAACUAUAAAAAAUUAAAAUUUCAUUUACCCUAAACAAUUAUUCUAAUUUCGCCCCUGUAUAAAAUAGUUGUAAUAUUAAAAAAAAAGUUAUACGAAUAUGGAGUGUUAAAAAAAAAGGCUUUCAACUUUUAAUAUUCCAAACAAAUAAAAGAAAUAAUAAUAACAGUUUACAAGUGCAAUAAAAGUAAUACAUAUUUGAUGAAUUAAAAAUAGAAUAAAUAUAACUAACUAUAACAGAAAUAUAUUUAGAUUUAAACCAAAUUUUUUUGAAGAUGAAAUUUGAACUCACAAAUAAUAUUUAUAAAUGAUGAUAUGUUUUAGAACAUGUAUAUUUUAAUUUCAUUUGAUAUUUAAAUUAAAUGAAUGAAAUGAGUAUAUUAGCAUAAAUAUAUUGAAUUUCUAGAUUUAUUAAAAAUCCAACUAAAUAGAGUAGAUCCAUAAAUUUAAAAAAUGAUUAUGGAUUUUGAAAUAUAAAUCUAAAAUUUAAAAUCUGAAACCCUCCUAAAUGUUUUCCAAAGUAAGGCGGGGAUAAAUGGUAUAGGGAAGACGGUGGGUAGAUAGAUGUACGGUUUAUUUAUAACUUCGUUUUUAUUAGUCGGCUUACAGUUUCAUAAAAAGCAUCCGUGCAAGGCAUGUUCAAAUGCUGCACUAGCAUACCACUACUAUAAAAAAAACACAUACAAGAGCACCACAAAUUUAUCCCAAAAUACAUUAAAUAAAUGACUCCUAAGGGUGCCAGAUUUAACUAGUGUGUCUGGGAUUGUAUUAGCCUCUCUGAGGCCAUGUGAAAAAAUUUAAUGUUAUUGUUAUAUUUCCAUCUCGAUACGUUGCAAGACAUGAAGCAAUCUGUAAACAACUCUCUUUUGGAAGCAGUUUGCAUACGACUCUUCGCUAAGAACCAUUUGUUGUGAUCUUUCGCUUAGGAUUGCUCACAAAUGACCCCCAUGCACCCUAUCUCUCUCCCUCCUUAACUCAUCAUCUUGAACUCUCAUCCUAUUAUAGGUGAAUCGAGACUCUUCUCCUCCACCCUUUCCUCGUUGGUUACUUGUAGCAAAAAAAAUUAAUUUCACCGAAAAUGUUGGAGAGAUCCCAUGGUCUAAGUGUGUUGUUAGAGCAAAGCUCGAUGGCAAAUUUGGAGUCAAAUUUUAGAAUCAACCCUUUAAAAUCCAUUACACCGUAAAGGAAAAUUUUUACAAUUACAUUAACAAUAAAUAUUCAAAAUUUACUCAUCUAUCUAUACUUAUAUUAAGCCUUAUUUGAGUUGGAGUCAAGAGUCAACUAGGUACUAACUCAGUUGAGAAUUUACUAAAUAAUUUUAAUAUAAAGUAAAAAAAAUAUUAAUACGAGGGUGUUUUUAUCUUUUCAUAUUUUUAAAUAAAAAUACUAUAAUAAGAUUUAAACUUAAGUUUAAAAUUUCAAUCAAAACAUCACUUAAAUUUAAAAUAACAUUUUUAUAUAAAAUGUGUUUAGAUUCUAAGAUAAUGAAAUUUAUGAUGAGGUAUUCAAAAUGUGUUUGAAUAUGCUAAUGAGAUAUUCAAAUUGGUAUGCACAUUCCUAAUCAGGGAGCAUUAAUGAUAAUUUAGUAAAAUAAAUUAUCUCAUUAGCAUAUAGUUUAUUAUAAAAUUAUUGUGUAAAAUAAACAAUUCACAAACUUAAGAAUUUAUAACACAAAAAUUAUACAUCAAUGUUGUUAGAAUUGUAUUAUAUCCAUCGGUUGAAUUUAAAUUUAAAAAUUUAAUCAGCGAUAAUAAUUAAAAUCGUUUCAAACUAGUAAAAUAUUGAAAAUUAAGAACUAAUAAAAUAGAUUCUAAUUAUUUUUAUUUAAAAAAUGUUACCUUCUUAUUCAGGUUACAUUAAGACAAACCCAUCUUAAUUAUAAGUAUCAUAUUGUGAAUGGUAAACUUCUUACACAACAUCCACCAUUUGUCCAAAUAUGUUAAAUUAGGUGCAACAUAGAAAUUUUAUUGUAAGGAGUGAAUCUCAUUGUUUUUAUUUUCAUCAAACAUACGUCUAACUUUAUUAUUACGGGAUUAGAACUUAAAUUUGAUAAAUUGUGUGGUUUUAGGUGAUUUCUUUUCGUUAAAUUUAUCUAAAUCAACCUAACACUCGAAAAGUGAGAAUUCUCCUAAAAAUUCUUUAUGUUAGCAAAAAAUAUAGUGGAAGUAACUUGAAACGAAAGAGCAAUGAGAGAAUUGAAAAGACACAAGAAAAUAAUGCAUACAAGGUGUUUGAGUAAAUGCUCUCAAUAAAUUCUUUAACUCAAGAAGGAAUGAAGUACAACCAGUAUCUAGCCCCCCUAAAAUAGAAAAUUUUCCAUUUAUAUACCUUUAUAAUUUAUAAAAUUUAAAAUUUUACUUUCCCAUAAAAUGAUAAAAAAUUGAUUUAUUUCUUUAAAAAUUAUAAAGAUGACUAUUAAAAUAGUAAAAUUGUAUUUUUAUUAUUGUAAAAAUAUACAAUUUAAUUCUGUCUCCCAAAUUUUUUUUUUUUGGUUUCAUCCCUAAGUACAAUGAUCGUUGUAGCAGGAUACAUAGGCAUUCUAGCACAGAAUGCAAAUAUGUUGCCAAUUAACUUCGAGUCAUGGCAUAAAGUGCCCGAGAGUAACAAGAACCAAGCUCUCGAUAACAUUAAGGUAACAAAAUGUGUAUAUCAUUUAUAAUACUUGAGUUUAAGUUUCGUUUACAUUUACUUUCUGAAGUUGUGUUUUUUGUAGGGGAGAUUUGCUCUAGAGGUCUCCGAUGCUUAUGUAAAGAAGGCAUUGGGAAAAAGAUGGAGAGACCAUAAGAGCACUUUAAAGAAAGACUAUUUUAAGACAAAAACAACACUCGACGAGAGAUUACAAAAUGUCACGCCGGGAAUGCUGAGGUACCAGUGGGAAGAAGUCGUUAGAUUUUGGACUUCGAAGAAAGGAGAGGUAUGUGUUACUACAAAAAUCUUGUAAUUAUUUUGGUUUAUAGUAUUUACUAAUUAACGUACUAAUAAUUUCAUAACGUAGGAUCGUGAACGAGUUGGAACAAGUAGUAGGCAGAAACAAAAAUUCACGCACACAGCUGGGUCGAGAAGUUUUGCGUGUGUAGCUCAGGCCGAGGUAUUUUGAAUUUUUUAAUACUGGCAGAUAUUUAUUACUUUCUAUCAAAUAAUAUUUUUACUAUUGUAUUGUAGGAAGUGUUGUCGGGUCAAAAAGUUGGACGCCUUCAACUUUUUGACAUUACACAUAGGAAGAAAGAUGGAAACCCUAUGACUCCUGAAGCUGCAGAAAUUAUGGUACGUUUGCUUAAUACAAUUUGACUUGUUUUAAUUAUUUAUGCUGUUUAUUUUCUAAUGUUUUUUAUUACAUUUCUUGUAAUGCAAAUAUUGUUAAGUUAUGUUGCAUUUGUUUUGUUAAUAUAUGUUGCGUUCUUAACUAUGUGAUUUAUUUUUUAGGAAAAACUGAAGGAUAAAAAGGCGGAGUACGAAGCGAUUGCUUCCAGUGAUAGUUCUGUUCAUAUUGACGACAUUGAUAACCGGAUUAUCACUGAAGUUUUGGGUCCUGAAAGGUAUGGUCGGGUUCGAUUUCAAGGAUCUUUUGUUAACCCAUCCCAAUAUUUUGGAUCCAGCUCGCAACAAUACAUGCAUUCGGGGAGUCAGGCUCAAGCUGAAGUUCAGAGGUUAAGAGACCAGAUAGCUCAGAUGCAAGCGGCAACGAGUGAGCAAAUUACACAACUUAAAGCGGAGGCAACAUCGAGAGAAGCUGAGGUUCAAAAAAGAUAUGAAGAACUCCAGCUACAACUUAAAGCAGAUGCGGCAGCGAGAGAAGCAGAGGUAGCAGCGAGAGAAGCUGAGGUUCAACGAAAGUAUGAGCAACUGCAGCAGCAGCUUAAAGAAGAUGCGGCAACGAGAGAAGCAGCGGCUGCAGCGAGGGAAGUAGAGGCUGCAGUGAGGGAAUCAGAACAGCAUAAAAAGUUCGAUGAACUCCAGCAGCAGCUUCAGAAUAUGAUGAAGAUGUUUCAGCAGUCGCAACCGCCGUCAUCUUAGACUAUCGUUUAAAUAUACUUCAAUUUUGACUUUGGUAUUAUUAUUUUAACUUUUACAAUUUCUGUCAGAAUAAUACGAAUUUUAUUUUAUUUAUUGACAUUUAUUUUAAAUAUUAUAUAGAUUUGGUUAGAUUUGGUUGGUUGGAUUUGGUUUCUUCUGAUUUGUUUUUAUAGGAGGGGGCUGAAAUUUUUUUUUUCAAAUCUGCAAAAAUUAGCGGCGUUUUUUUGGAUAAGCGCCGCUAAAGACCAUCGUCUAUAGUGGAAUUUUUUGGCUAAGCGCCGCUAAAGACCAUGGUCUAUAGUGGCAUUUUUCGGCUAAGCACCGCUAAAGACCAUGGUCUAUAGUGGCGUUUUUUGUCUAAGCGCCGCUAAAGACCAUGGUGUAUAGUGGCAUUUUAUGGCUAAGCGCCGCUAAAGACCAUGGUGUAUAGUGGCGUUUUUUGGCUAAGCGCCGCUAAAGACCAUGGUCUAUAGUGGCGUUUUUUGUCUAAGCCCCGCUGAAAACCAUGGUCUAUAGUGGCGUUUUUUGGCUAAGCGUCGCUAAAGACCAUGGUCUAUAGUGGCGUUUUGUGGCUAAGCGCCGCUAAAGACCAUGAUCUAUAGUGGCAUUUUUCGGCUAAGCGCCGCUAAAGACCAUGGUCUAUAGUGGUGUUUUUUAGGCUAAGCGCCGCUAAAGACCAUGGUCUAUAGCGGCGUUGCAAAGAAAACGCCGCUAAAGACCAUGGUCUAUAGUGGCGUUUUUUAGGCUAAGCGCCGCUAAAGACCAUGGUCUAUAGCGGCGUUGCAAAGAAAAUGCUGCGAAAGGUCUUGAUCUUUAGCGGUGUUUAUUAUAAAAAGCGCCGCUAAAGUUACCGACGCUGUCAUUAGCGGCGAUCCUUGCGGCGCUUCGUAAAGCGCCGCUAAAAGUAUUUGCGGCGCUAAAAAAUGCCGCUAUAGACCUAAAAAAGCGCCGCUAAAACCCUGUUUUGGUGUAGUGUGAGAUGAUUACAAAUGAAGGGGGAGAUCUCUAUUUAUAGUUGAGCUCCCCUAGAUCCAAUAGUAUAGAUUGAAUUACAUCAACGAUUGAGAUUAGUACUUAUCUACAAGAUGAGUCUUAAGGAUUUUAAACUCUAUACAUCUUUAUCCCUUAGGAUUUACAUUAAUUACUCUGGUAACUCUAGUUUUACUGGAGAGUUUCACUGAACCACCAAAGGUUUAAGUAGAUGAGCUUCUCCAUAUGUUCCACGAGUUGGACAAGUUCAAGCGGAUCAAAUGAGCCCAAUUUAAUUAGUUAAUCUCAAUAAAACGUUCUAUGCACAAUGAUCAUGAACUUUGAUCCACAUCUCAAAAUGAUCAGAUGAAUAAUCUCUCUUAAUUAUAUUUUUAUAAAACUUGAUAUUUUCAUUUAAAAAGAAACACAAUCACAUAUAAUAAUGUCUCCAAAAGAGUCGUCCACUUCAAAGAUUUAAAGUAAUGUAAGAAUGAACCCAACAUUUUUCAAUUAAAAAUAUGUCGAUAGAUAUAGCAAGUUGUAUAACCUUUCAAUUACAAAACAGAUUUCAAUGGGGAUUGCAUCCGGUACAUGCAACUAAAGAACAGAACCGGUGCAUAAAUUGAUUUAAUUAAACUUUGGGUUGAGUAAUCAUGAUUUUCAUUAUUAUUAGACUACGUGAAUGUUGAUAUAAAAUGCUUGAGAGAAGGGUAUAGAAGAAACACAAAAUAAUGAGUGAUAUUAAUUUGUAGAUAAAGAUAAUAUUACAUAGUCGCAAAAAGCGACCUAGUACACAACGCACAACUCUAAAUUAGGAUAACUCCUCUGCUAUCCCUAUGGAUGGAUUUUAACAUCCAUAUUUAUUCUGUAGCUAUCGUUAUUUUGGCUUCCACUAGCUGGUGAACUUUCCAUGCCAAAACUUCACUUAACCCUGCAAAUGAAACAACAAAAAACACAACAUUAAAUGUUGAGCAAUUAAUAAGCAUAAGCAAUGAAACAACUCAUACGAACCUGCUGCAGUCAGUGCUAGGGCUGAUCUUGUAAGGGAUGUUGACACCGCACUUGCCUGGGAGUCCGCUUGCAAUACCAUAGUUGAUGCCAGGAAUGCCGGCGGCCGCACUUUUGAUGCAUUUGCAAGCUGCUUGCCGGUCUGGUGUUGUUUGGGCGGCGGAGUUGAGAGAUUUGAUGCCGCUGCAGCAACCUUGGGGAACGGCACCAGCACCAUUCCCUCUCAAGUAAUUAAUGCAGGGUGCGAGGGAGCCUGUGACUUGACCACAGGUUACGGUCCCUUGAGCCAGGGGUGCACCCACCACCAUGCACAACACCACCACACAUGCAAGCUUAAGGGACAUUGAGCUAGCCAUAUCGAUUAAUUACAAGAAAAACAAACUUGUAAGGAAAAUGCUUGCUUGGAGUAGUAGUAGUAUUGCUGAUUGUUGCGUGGUUAGGGCCCGAGGGUAGGAGGGUUUUUAUAGCCAAAAGUUUUGUGAAGGGAUAUGGAACGAACUGAGAAACACGUACGAAUAGAAUAUGGUUAGGCGUUGGUAGUUGUCCCAAUUCAAUGCCAAGGUUUCUUUUUUUCUUUUUCAUGUUUCAGCUUAUGGUUGAGUGUGUUUAAUGCUUUGAAAAAGGUUUGUAUCUACCACUUUCAUCUUCAUCACUAAUGCUGAAUUACUCCGUUGAUUAAUGCAUCAUAUUAGCCUUGUCCUAGUGUUACCGGUUUUCUGAUAUUAGUAGCUUUACCAAUAAAAGAUGCUAUCAAAUAUAGUUUUCAGGAUGAUAUUAAAAAUUAAGGUUUUUUAGUUACAAAUAAAAUUGUCACAUUAUCAAAUUUUAAAGAUAUGAAAUUAUUAUUAUAAACUCAUCUAUAGAGAAAUUAUUUUAUGAGCCCUUUCCACCACAUUAUUCACAGUCCAUUUUCAAUUAUUUAAUAAUAUUUCAACAAUAUUUUUCAUGUCAUUGACACAUAAUUUUAAUAAAUUUUUUACCCUGAACCUUGAGUCUAGAAUCCCAAACCCUAAAUAAAAAACUUAAAACCCCAAACUAUAACCCCAAACACUUGCAUCAUAAACUCGAACCGCGAACCUCAAACUCAUAAUCUGUAACCUUGAACCCAAACUUGUAAUCUCGAACCCUUGAACCCUUGAACCCUGAACCUAAACCUUGAACCCUGAACUCAAAGCCCAAAACCAAAACUGAACCCUGAACCUUAAAUCUCAAACCCAAACCUUAAACCUCGAGGUUUGGGUUCAAGGUUCAAGGUUCAGGGUUUGAGUUCAAGGUUCGAGGUUUAGGAUAAAAUAAUUACCAAAAUUUGUAACAGAAUAAAAGAGUUCGUUUAUAAUUUAAAAAGCAAUUAUUUUAAGUAAUUUAAUUAAAGUGAAAUUAAGUUAGAGAAAAUAUUAGAUAUAGAUGAGUGUAUAAUAAUACUUUAUUGUCUUUAAAAUUUAAUGACGUGGUACUAUUUUAUUGGUGCCUCAAACUAUACUUUUUAGAAUAAUCCUAAUACAAUUUAUUCCCAUAUUAAAUACGUAUGCUUUCUAUAUUUUUUCGAAAAAAUAAAUUUUAUUCAUAAACUUUCUAUAUAUAAAUAUAUGUUUUAUUUAAAAUUUAUAAAUACAGAAAAAUUAAAAUAUAAAUAUAUGUCAAAGUAGCUAUUAAGUGUAGAAUUAAACAAUUAUAACAUAUAAAUAGAUUAAAAAUUAGGACAAAAAAUCAAUCUAUUACAUAAAAUAUAAAUUAUGAAUGAAAACAAUCUAAAUUAUAGUCUGGCUAAUCAAACUAAAACUUACAUAUAACCAUAUGACUUUAAGGGUCUUGAAUAUGGUUACUUAAAAGCUUAUAGUUCAGCUUUUACCCACUACGUCAAGGCUUCAUUUACGUUUUUUUUAACCAUAUAUUUUUCAUAUAAUUAUAUAUAUAUAUUUUGCAUAAAAAAUCCCCAAGACGUUAAUUACUUCUAUAUAAUGUAGCGAUUAAGUCCUCAAACAAAAAUUGCUCAACAUCAAUGCAUGUAUAGAUCAAUUUUAUAUAUCAAAGACCAAUACUAUCUUUUUCUUAAAAAAAAAAAAAAACCAAUAUGUUGUGAUUGCUUAGCUAUUGUUCCUAAGUCUUCCUGAAAAAGGUUUCACAGCGAGAGGAGAAAAAAAAAAGUUGAACUUGUCUUGGUUUGCCCCAUAAUGAUUGAAGCAUAGACAAGAUUAUAAAUGUUAAUUUAGUAUACGACAUAAUAAUAUAAUAUAAUAUAUUUAAAUGUAUAUCUCCUCACCUCCUAGACGCUGUCAGUUAUUUUAUUUUUUGGGAUUCUUUUAACAAAAGGUUGAGCUUUUUAUUAGGUUUUAUUUGAUUUUUCAUUUAUUAAUAUAAUUUUUUUAUUUUUAUAUAUUUUAGUUAUUAUUAAUUUUUGUUGGAAAUUUGUACGGUCUUGUUCUAACAACAAUUACAACAAGCUUUUUGGAACAAUCAAAAGUUUUGGGUGUUGGCAUGUUUGACUUUUAAUGGCUUAUGUUUUAAUAUUAGUUAACAACAAAUGAUAAGAGAAUUUCAUGGUAAAUUAGAAUAUAAUUAUCAUCCAUUUGAUUAGUCUUGAAGAGGAAGGAGAGGAGUUUUAACUUUGGUGGACACCCAUCCUUAUCCUUGUCUUUUAGAGUGUUUGAAGCUAUUGGAGAACUUGGUUUUAAAGAUUUUAUUUGAUAAAUAUUCAAAAUAAUUAAUUUGAUAAUUUCAACUUUUAAAGGAGAGUUUAAAACUUAUCAAAAUAUUAUUUGAUAAACACUUGUAGAGGCGUAUAAAUAGGCAACAGUGUGGUGUAACUUUGUUUGUUGUUUUGGAGUGUCUUAAACUUUUAUUUUUUUGCUAUUCCAUUGGGUAACUUUAUGACACUCUCUUUUUAGGUAUUAUUUGGAGAUGUUUAGUAAUUGUAUUGUGAGGAAUUUGAGUGAGUGAUUGCAUUGAAGAAAUGCGACCUAAAUGUAUAUGUUAAACUCUUAUCUAGGACAUAAAUUCCAUGAACAAGGUACCCAUGUUAAUAACAUGUCACCACUUCGCAUCUUUAUGGUAUUGACCCUAUGUAGUUAGACCCUAUAUGACGUAAACAACACUUAUAGUGUGCACGAUAUCGUAGGCUUGAACGUUGAUUGAAUGCAACCUAUAUUUUGGUGCCUUUGUCGGAAAUGAUGUAUGCAUCGGGUUGCGGUACAAAUGCCUUCUCAGGUUAGUUAAGAAGAAAUCCCAUUCAUCAUUGGAUUCUUCAGGAGUUAUUACAAAAGCUAUUGGCAGGAUUUUUAGGUUACCAUCUUAUGCAACAACUACUAACAACCGAUGGUCGCAUAUUCUAUACAGGAAUGUGCCGUUAAUUUGGAAAAGUGGCUUACAGUACCAAAAUGUAGUUCUGCAUUGCUUAAAAGUCCAAAAGCAACGGUGGAAAACUCCUUUUCCAGGGACCAAGCAAUCGUCAUAAUACGCAGGCUCCAUUUUUAACUUGGUUACAGAACCUAGUAUGUACCACUCUAGUAUCUAACACCAUUGCCACAAUUUAUAGUAGGAUUUCUCCCACCCUCUAUUCAUUUUCUCCAAUGCCUUCUAUUUUUGCAACUAUGUCUUAUGCUAGGACAUGGUGUAAUCGGAUUCUCUACAGAUGUGUGCGAUCAAAAUUGGGACCAGAAUCGUAGGACUUGCUUUUGCCAUGGGUAAUAGAAUUUUAGAUAUCAUGUCUAAAUCUAAUUUUGGAUGAUCAUUCGAUAUGCUUGAAAAACAAGAAAUCAAGUCACUAUGUGUAAUAGAAUGUAAAAAAAGGCUAGGAUUCGAGUCGAUGUUGUUAGCCAUAUUACAUACCAGCUACAACACAUGUAUGUGGCACGAUAAAUUUCCUACGUUUAAAAUGCCAACUUCUUCGUCAUAAAUGCCAUGAUUUUCCAUAGACAUCUUGUUGCACGCAUUGUGCGCAUCGCCUUAUAUUUCUCGGAUUGAGAGCAUGUAAUAGUGAAGUUGACACCAAGUUGUAUGCUAUACUACUUGAUUGUAGCUACAAAAGCAUAUUUGGAGUCAAAUUCCAUCCCAACCUCUAAGUGGUCGAAAUUUGUUGAUGAAGUCGCAUACCUUAGUCUUCUACGGGGGAGGUCUGGGAAUUCUAAAACCACUUUCACUAGUAAGACUGAGAGUACGCAUAUGGGGUGGGGGUUUGUAUUUCGUGAAACUUAGGUCAUCCCCUCGAGCGAUGUCUAAAGCUUGACCAUUAGAUCCAUCGUCUUCUAGUUCAGUAGGAAUGGGAUCUAGUUCUAAAAUUACUACAAUUUCGCACCAUCCAGUCCAACCACCUCUCCUGGGUCAUUAUCUGAUUUAGACCCCUCUUUGACCACUUUGUUCUCUUGUCCCUCUUUGUUAUCAACCCUGGUUGUAAGUCCAGGGUUGGAUGUACCCUCUCUGGUCAAAGUUGUCAAGAGUAGAUCAUUCAUUCUUGUAAAUCCGAUGUCAAUCCCAAAAUCAAUUCUGUUUGGCCUACCCAGUAACUUGAUGGUGUACCAUAUGAGUGUUAUCGAGGUUGAACAUAGGUGUGUCAAAGUUGAAACCAAAGGCACUGAUAGAAUGUUGUGCGGCUGUGUUGUAGGCCUGGUGACCGAAUACGUCUAACUAUCCCCCGAAGUUGAAAUCGAGGGAUGAAAUCGAUGAAUGCCUCACCAUUGAUGAUGUUAAUAAUGUGUCUUUGUAUAAGCUUUGUAGAAAUGAUCUGAAUCCACAACAAAACCGUGUGGCCAGACUUUUUGCUUCUUGAUUUGGCUAGAAAUUUGGCGGACACGGUAUAAUCGAGCUUGGGCCACCUUUUUCCUCUUCAGCAAAGACUGUAUAUUCUCACUAGAGUAAUGAGUUUCGAUCACUGUCUUCAAACCGUUGUCCCCUGUGAUCUGAAAAAUGGAAUAUCUAACGGGGUUAAAUGAUGUUAGAUAUCUACAUUUCAGGCUCAAAAUUCUUCUUCAGAUCCCUACUUUAUGCCUAAACCUUGUUCAAAGCUCUUUUAACGUUAUGCUCUAGUUGAAUGUCAGAUCUUUAGAUUGGGUUGAUACAAAAAUGGGCUCAAUUUCAGCCUCACAAUUUUGACCGUUGUAAUGGACAAUAGCUCUGGCUCGUCUCCUCAUCUUGAACCAAAUAUUCUAUUCCACAUGUUUAAAAUCGAGAAAAUUGUAAAAAUAUAGUUCUCAUCACCCAAAUCCCUAAAUUUACACUUACUUUAAUGAAAUACCUUUGCUUCGACAAUAUUGUCAGUAUAAAAUUUUUGUUUUUUACUACAACAUCGAUAACUCCUAAUGCCAACAAUCUGCUUCAAACAUCUGUAUGGAAAAUCCAAGAAUUAUAUUGAGUUUUUUUAUAGAGCCUUUUCCUCGACGCACAUGAAACGAUUCUAGCAACAACACAUGUCAAGGCAUUAGUUGUUUUUGAGGUAUACACUAAAAAUUAAAAUUUGUGGGGGAGAAAACGUUCCCCGCAACGAUGUUUUUCAGCACCUAGACAUAGCAUUGAAAUUUAUCCUAGGAAUCCCGGGUUGUAGGGGCUUAGAGGUUGAAGCAAUCAAGUUGGCUUGGGUAUUGAAAGACCAUAAAGAAAAUGCCUAUUGCAGGAAGCAUUUCCACCUGACUUGGCAAUCAAAAUGCCUCCUGCAGGACGCGUUUUCCAGCCACAUCUCUGAUAUGUUAGUCGAAAACGCAUCUUGCAAGAGGCGUUUGUACUGCCAUGUUAGGUAAAAACACUUCCUGCAGGGAACAUUUUCUUUAUGGCCAUUUCAACACCCAGGCCAACUUAAUUGCUUCUGCCUCUGAGCCCUUACAACACGGGAUUCUCGGGAUAAAAAAAUUUCCCUUUUUACCCCACCCCAUCCCUUAUAUAAAUGCAUGUUCUCAUCCCCUACUCACCCAUAUCUCAGUCUCCUUUAAAUUAUUUUUUUCUUUUUCUUCCGUGUUGAAAUUUUCAAGUUUAAAGAUUUAUUUCUCUCACACUUUGAGGGGGAUGUAAUCAUAGUUUUAAGUUGUGUUUGAGUUCACAAUAAUGUCGUGGCGCUUGAUAACUUACAAAUUUCACUUGUCGUGUGAGUAUGGAGCCAUCACUUGAGAAAUCGAGAUCGCUUUGCAACUCGAGGUCCAAGUUGACGGUGUAAAUAAGGCUUCAAGUUUACAAAGGUUAUGCUAUUAAAAGGAUGGAGCAAAACCGGGACUGUAGUUGAUGAUGGUGAUGCAAGCACAAGAACUAGUUUUUCCUCAUUGGAAGAGCAUACUUUAUAAAAUCCAUAUACAAGUACGAGGGAGAAAAUCACAGGGGUCUUCCAGUAUAAUCAAGUAAUUCAUUUUAUCCUUUUCCAGCAAAGGCAAUGACCCUGUUACUAAAACCUAUUACAUCCCAAUUCUAUCAUAGGUAAUAGUAACGGUGUCACUGUCUUUGGUGGAGAUGGAUAAAAAAAUUUACUUAAUUAUACUGAGAUACCAUUGCAUUUUUCUUCCUCGUACUUGUGUAUGAGUUUUAUAAAGCAUCAUUUUCUAAUGAAAAAAGUUUUUUGUCGUGCCCGCAUAACCAUUGUAAAUUACAGCUCCAAUCAUACUCCGUCCUUUGAUAGCGUAACAUUUUGUAAACUUGAAGCUCUAGUUACACUUCAAUUUCAGACCGUAUAAUCACCCUUAACUGGGACCAUGAGUUGCAAUGCGAUCUGGCUUCUCGGGUGAUGGCUCCAUACUCACAUGACAAAUGAAAUUUGUAGGUCACCUAACUCCACGACACCACCAUAAAUUCAAACAUUCCUUAAAACUAUAACAGUGUCUAUCUCAAACAAGAAUGAAAAUAAAUGUUCAAACUUCUAAUUUCAAAUUGCAAGAAAAAAAAAAGAAAAAAAUAAAUUUUAGCAAAGUAAAAAUGGGUCCUACCGGCACAUUUUCAUUGCCACAUCAAUGAAAAUACACCUCGUACGACACGUUAUUCUUUCUUCGUAAACAAUGUAAAUCAAUAAAUUUAAAAAAAAAUUAUACAUUCUCAAAUAACUCUUUUUUUCAGCAUUUUUGUUAAAUUUAUCCCAUAAUACUGCUACUUCUUGUUUCCUGGGUUAUUUUUAUUACUGCUGGUUGUACCACCCUCCUACUGUGCGCCGGUUAUAGCAACUCACUCAAGAUUCUAAAUACUAAUAUAAACACCAUUUCUUUUAUUCUUAGUUUUUUUAGUGAUUAACGUGGUUUUAAUUAUCGUUAGAUCACGUGGGUGUUUAUAUGAAAUGCUUGAAAUCGUCACGCAGGACAAAAAAAAAAAAGAAAAAGAAAAGGAAAUGAAGAGUAUAUAUAUAGAGGAAACAACUAGUGAGAGUGAUAUUAAUAUUUAGAGUAGGUAAAGAUAGUAUUAUAUAGUCGCAUAUGCGACCUUGUACAUUACCACUAACUCUAAAACUAGGAUAACUCCAACAAUGAAUAGUACCGCUAUGGAUUUUUAACAUUCAUUUUUAUUCUGUCGACAUCACUAUUUCCCUUCCAUUAGCUGAUCCCAACUUCCAUGACCACACUUCACUUAAUGCUGCAAAUGCAACCACACCAAACAAAACAUUCAUAAAUUAAUAAAUCAAUUGCCAUAAGCGAUAAACUUUGGGUCAUUUUCUUUUUCCGUAAUUUCAAAGAAACCUAGUUUAAAUUAGAUACGAACCUUUUGCAGUCAGUGGAAGGGCUGAUCUUGUAAGGGAUGUUGAUACCGCACUUGCCUGGGAGUCCGGCUGCAGUGCUAUAGUUGAUGCCAGAAAUGCCGGUGGCCGCACUUUUGAUGCAGCUGCAAGCUGCUUGCCGGUCUGGUGUUGUUUUGGCGGCAGAGUUGAGAGAUCUGAUGCCGUUGCAGCAAGCUGGGGGAGCAGAACCAGCACCAUUCCCUUUCAAGUAAGCAAUGCAGGGUGCGAGGGCGCUUGUGAUUUGACCACAACUUAUGGCCCCUUGAGCCAGGGGUGCACCCACCACCAUGCAAAACACCACCACACAUGUAAGCUUAAGGGACAUUGAGCUAGCCAUAUCAAUUAGUCACAAGAAAACAAACUUGUAAGGAAAAUGCUCGCUUGGAGUAG
rnacentral:lncRNA from 1 species